GUGUGUAAGCUCUCUAAGGCGCUCUAUGGACUUAAGCAAGCCCCAAGAGCAUGGUAUGAAUGCCUUAGAGACUUUUUAAUUGCUAAUGCUUUCAAGGUUGGGAAAGCCGAUCCAACUCUUUUUACAAAGACAUGUGAUGGUGAUUUGUUUGUGUGCCAAAUUUAUGUCGAUGACAUAAUAUUUGGUUCUACUAAUAAAAAGUCUUGUGAAGAGUUUAGCAGGGUGAUGACGCAGAAAUUCGAGAUGUCGAUGAUGGGCGAGUUGAACUACUUCCUUGGGUUCCAAGUGAAGCAACUCAAGGACGGCACCUUCAUCUCCCAAACGAAGUACACGCAAGAUCUGCUGAAGCGGUUUGGGAUGAAGGACGCCAAGCCCGCAAAGACUCCGAUGGGGACCGACGGACACACCGACCUCAACAAAGGAGGUAAGUCCGUUGAUCAAAAAGCAUACCGGUCAAUGAUAGGUUCUUUGCUUUAUUUAUGUGCUAGUAGACCGGAUAUUAUGCUUAGCGUAUGCAUGUGUGCUAGAUUUCAAUCCGAUCCUAAGGAAUGUCACUUAGUGGCGGUGAAGCGAAUUCUUAGAUAUUUGGUUGCUACGCCUUGCUUCGGGCUCUGGUAUCCAAAGGGGUCUACCUUUGACUUGAUUGGAUAUUCAGACUCCGACUAUGCUGGAUGUAAGGUCGAUAGGAAGAGUACAUCGGGGACGUGCCAAUUCUUAGGAAGGUCCCUGGUGUCAUGGAACUCUAAGAAACAAACCUCCGUUGCCCUAUCCACCGCUGAGGCCGAGUAUGUUGCCGCAGGACAGUGUUGCGCGCAACUACUUUGGAUGAGGCAAACCCUCCGGGACUUUGGCUACAAUCUGAGCAAAGUCCCACUCCUAUGUGAUAAUGAGAGUGCUAUCCGCAUGGCGGAAAAUCCUGUUGAACACAGCCGCACAAAGCACAUAGACAUCCGGCAUCACUUUUUGAGAGACCACCAGCAAAAGGGAGAUAUCGAAGUGUUUCAUGUUAGCACCGAGAACCAGCUAGCCGAUAUCUUCACUAAGCCUCUAGAUGAGAAGACCUUUUGCAGGUUGCGUAGUGAGCUAAAUGUCUUAGAUUCGCGGAACCUGGAUUGAAUUGUAGCAUACAUGUAGUUAUGCUUUUGAUCAUGUUCCUUUUUGCAUUAUGUUGCUUAUUAUGGUGCUCAAGUUGUACAAACACUCCCUGGACCUCACAAGUCCGUUGCAAAGUGAUGCACAUGUUUAGGGGGAGAUGUGUUACAACUUGACCCUUUGAGACUAACCAUGUGCUUGAGUUUGGUAAUUUAGUCUCGAAGGAGGAUUGAAAGGGAAAAGGUGGACUUGGACCAUGAAAGACUUCCACUGCACUCCGAUGAGAGGGUAACUAAUUCCAAGUUCAUCUCAUGAAAUCUUAUUGCCAUUUGCUCCUAAUUGAAGACUUUGGUGAGGCAAUGAGGUUAAAAGGCCAAGAUUAAUCCCGUUUUGGUGCUUGAUGCCAAAGGGGGAGAAAAUAAAGGCCAAAGUGAUAAAUGGAUCAGCUACCACUUGAGAGAUUUUGAAAAUAGUAGAAUAGAGUUUUUGGUGUGUCAAAAGCUUUUAUUGUCUUUUAUUGUCUCUAUUGUCAAAAGUUGGCUUCUUGUGGGGAGAAGUAUUGAUUAUGGGAAAUAGGGGGAGUUUUUGAAAUCUUUGAUCAAUCUCUUUUGGAAUGACUCUCUUUAUACUUCAACAUGUGUGUUUGACUUAGAGAUAGAGAUUUGAAUUUGAUUUACAAAAACAAACCAAGUGGUGGCAAAGGAUGAUCCAUAUAUGCCAAAAUUGAAUAAAACUCAAAUUUAUUUUUAUUUAAAGUGAUUUUGCACUUGUUCUAGUUGCUUUAUGUUGUGUUGGCAUAAAUCACCAAAAAGGGGGAGAUUGAAAGGGAAAUGUGCCCUUGGGCCAUUUCUAUGUAUUUUGGUGAUUGAAUGCCAACACAUGUGCUUAAUUGGGAAUGUAUGUACAUGGAUGAACAAGGUGAAAAUCAUGAAGUAAAGGUAUGUUUCUAAGCCUUAGUACAUUGGUUUUAAGUACUAAUAUAUUUGUCUAAGUGUUAGAAACAGAAAGAAGAAGAAUAGAGAAAAGGAGAAGGGACUUGGCUGUGUGCUGCCAAGACCCAGCUCGGUCUGGAGCACCGGACUGUCCGGUGUGCACCGGACAGUGUCCGGUGCGCCAGGCUGGCGCGUCUCGAACUGGCCGCUCUCGGGAUAUUGGCCGGCGGCGUACGGCUAAAAUUCACCGGACUGUCCGGUGUGCACCGGACUGUCCGGUGAGCCAACGGUCGGCCAGGGCCAACGGUCGGCCGCGCAAUCCGCGCGGGACACGUGGCCGAGCCAACGGUCGGAAGACGGCACCGGACUGUCCGGUGUGCACCGGACAUGUCCGGUGCGCCAACAGCGCCAGAUCUGCCAACGGUCUGCAACGGUCGUCUUCGCCGUUUAAGGAAACAAAUCGGGCACCGGACAGUGUCCGGUGUGCACCGGACUGUCCGGUGCCCCCGACGACAAAAGGCAAGGAUGGCCUUCCGGAUUUGCUCUCAACGGCUCCUAGCUGCCUUGGGGCUAUAAAAGGAGCCCCUAGGCGCAUGGAGGAGACACACAAGCAACCUUUGAGCAUUCUUGAUCAUUCACACUAAGUCUCUGCGCAUUCGUUUGUGUUUCUAAGUGAUUCGAGCUCUGUUCUAAGUGAGAACUCUGAGAUAGUCUUGUGAGCUCGAUUCUUGGCCGUGUGUGUGCGCUUUUGCUGUGGAUUUGUGUGUGUUGCUUCCCUCCCUUGCUCUGUGUUUCAUUUGUGAUCAUAUACUUGUAAGGGCAAGAGACUCCAAUUUGUGGAGAUUCCUUGCAAACGGGAUAGUGAAAGGAAAACAAAACACCGUGGUAUUCAAGUGGGUCUUUGGACCGCUUGAGAGGGGUUGAUUGCAACCCUCGUCCGUUGGGACGCCACAACGUGGAGUAGGCAAGCGUUGGUCUUGGCCGAACCACGGGAUAAAACCACUGUGUCACUCUGUGCUUGAUUCUCUUGUGGUACUGUGUUUUGUUGAGAUUGUUGAGACUUCACCUUAGCCACUUGGCAAUAAUCGUGCUAACACUUAACAAGUUUUUGUGGCUUAAGUUUGAAGUUUUUACAGGAUCACCUAUUCACCCCCCCCUCUAGGUGCUCUCAGUUUUCUUCCUUGAUCUAAGUCUUGUCAUGUCUGCAGGACUCAAUAGCAGACUACAAACCCUCAUAGGGUGCACACAACGUAGGUGCAGAUGCAGAUGCACUCACUGAGCUAGCCUUCUCAAGCGAGGCUAUCCUAGUGUUCUUCUCCGCUAUCUUAGUCUGUAAGCUAGAAAAAGUAUGACAUGCACCCAACAAGCUAGACCUAUAUUGAAGCUCAUCGCACUCAUCUAGUAGGGUGGCAUACUUGGUCUGUAAAGUGGUGAUGUUCGACAUGUGAAGGGCACAUCCGUCACAUUCAGUCUCGUCGGAGACCACAACUAAAGCUCUAGUAGACUCAAGCUCCCUAAGUGUGCUCUCAUACUUGGAUUUAGACACUUUCCUCUCAUGAGUAGCAAGCCUAAGCAACUUGUCCUGAUUCACCAAAUCUAUGUUCAUCUCUUCUACCUUAGCGACGAGAUCAUCAGCGGAAUGUGAUACCUUAGAAGUAGAGUCAUCGUUGAUGUCCUUACCGUCGCCGCCCACUGUGUCAUCACUAAGGGCCAUGGUGCAAAUGCCUCAUGUAUUGUCGAUGAUGAAGCACAACCCAUUGAGCUUGUCCUCAAUGCGCCUCUCGGGCUCCUCGUCGCUCAAGGACGAGGCCGACUUGUUAGAGUCUUGUUCGAGGUUGCUCAGGGAGGUGAGGAAGGCGCGCUCAUUGACCUUCGCCUUCUGGAGGUACUUAUUCUUGAGCGCCUACUUAUUGAACCUCCCCCUGGACUUAUGCUUGCCAGAGGUGUGCUCUUGCUUGCCCUUGCGCUGACUAGAGUGGUCGCGCGGGCUAGCCUCCUACUUGCCCUUCUUAGGACAAUAGGUGAUGAAGUGGUUGGGGUCGCUACAGUUGUAGCAUCUAUCCUUCGACCCACCACACCAUCGAUUUUGGUGGUUAUUAUGGAACCACGCAAAGUGGCUAGCCACAAGCACUAGCUCAACAUCUCCAAGGCGCCCAACCUACUCCUCUAUGAUAGACAACAAGGAAGAUAGAGCAAACAAAGCAGGUGAGGGGUUAUAAGAAGAACCGCCUCUAGAGACCAGGGCCAUUGUGGGUGCACCAAGGUUCUCAAUCUUGGCCUGGGUUUGGUGGUCAACCUCAGUGGACUUGAGCUUGCUGAACAGCUCAUCCACAGUGAGAGUCUCAUAAUUUGGUGACUCAAUGACCACCGAGACUUUCACCUCCCAAACCCUCUAAUCUAGAGCAUGUAGCAACUUCAAUGCUUUCUCAUGAUCAUCAUAGGGAAGCUAUGCCUUGUUUGCACGUAUGAUGUCCACAAUCGACUGGAAUCGAGAGAACAUCGUGUCGAUCAUCUCUCCAGCCAACUGAAUAAAGUUCUCGUACUCUUGCCGACACAUCUCAAAAAAUCUGGGGUUUACAUGAUCAUUUCCCUCAUGAAAUUUCUCGAGGGUGGACCUGAUCUCAUGAGACAUACCAAAAUGUCCAACUCGCUUAAACUCUGCAAAGCGAGAGACACAAGAACAAAGCAUUUCGAGCAUUGUUAUUCGAAUCAUGGUACUCCAUCUAAAGAGGAGUGAUCUAAGCACCUUGAACAUCGAACGUAACAUCAAGGUAAAUCUCCCAUACGUGAUACCUAGUAUUCUAAAGAUAUGCCAACGUGCGGAUCUUCCAGUAUGGGUAGUCUGUCCCGUCAAAGAAUGGAGGUUUGCCAACACCUCUUUCUAUGUCGCCUUUAUGGAAUUCGAACCGAUUAUGGUAACGAAAUCCUUAACCGACUCUAAUACCAAUUUAAGGAUCGGUGAGGCGACUAGAGGGGUGAAUGGGAGUCACUAAAAAUUCUCUCUUGAGAAUAGCACCGUGACUUUGAUCUUAGACUUCAACAUAGACCCACGGGAUGACUGAAACUGCGUAGCAUAGUAAUACUUAAUCCAGUGUCGAUUGAAUAUACCAAACUACAACAAAAAGAAUUGUCCAACAAUUUGCGUGGUAGCUUCUAGUCAUGCCCAGGUCUAACAUGCCCACCAACUCGCACCAUGCUCCCUCAAAACUCUCUCUCUCUCUCUCUUUCUAGUACCCUUGGUACCUUGGUGUUGUUACAUAAUGAUAGAAUGUAUAAAUUGAAAGAUGGGAUUCAUCAAUAGUUAGACUUAGUCAGGGCAAAUUUAUUUUGGCAAGGCUCUAGCGAAAAUUCUAAAUAACAUAUGAUGAAGUGGGAGAACAUUUGUAUACUAAGGAUUGUGAAGAAUUUUGGGUUAUGGUCGCAAGGGUUAUGAAUGAAGACUUACCAGGUAAAUGGGUUCAGAAUAAUUUGAAAGUCUAAGAGGAUGAUCCAUGCUUUUCUUUAAUCAAGAGUAAGUAUAAUACUUAAGGCGAAUUUUGCUCUCAAUCUUGGAAGGGAAUACUAUAUGCAAGGAACUUGGUAAAUGGGAUUGUCAACAACGGUUAACAAUGAGAAAAUGUACUAUUUUGGGAGGAGGUAUGGGUUUUGGACAUGCCACUAAUAUUAGAAUUCCCAUUUUUUUGUUGUUUGUCAAAAUAAUCAUUGUUUGGUCAAUGGUUGUUGGGUAGGAGAUGGAUAGAAAGUGAAAUUUAGAUUUUCCCUACGGUGGAGGACAUGAAAGAAUGGGAAAGGUUCAUGGACAUUUUGGAAGGAGUGAUAAUUACUAAGGGAGAAGAUAUGUUAACUUGGUUGUUAGAGAAAUCUAGACAGUAUACAACAAGAUCCACGUACGACAUGUUAACUUUUAGGGGUAUUGUGAACAAGAGGAUGAGUAAACUCUAAAAGAACAAAGCUCCAAUGAAAAUUUAGGUUUUUAUGUGGUUAGUCAUAGGGUAUGUUGCAAACAGGUGCUCAUCUAAAAAGGAAGUAGUAGGGAAGUGUGAAGUGUCUUUGCGAGGAAUUGUAAAAUGAAGAUCACAUUUUCUUUGGAUGUAUUAUUGGAAGAACCAUUUGGGACUCUUUUAAGGAGGAUUGAGAAUGCCAUAUAGUUUGCAAGAUCUAUUUGAAGAGUGUCUACCCAUAAAAAAUAGUAAAUAUCAUGUCUAAUUUUCCAUCUUCACUAUUAUUCUUUAGGAGAAUUUAGAAUUUUCCGAAUAAAAUAUGGAUAGAAAAGAAGUUCCCAAAGCCAUCCAAUUUUCUACAAAAUCUUCAACUUUAAGAUUGAGAGUGGGCGUUGUAAAGUUCUUGGAAGACGAGUUCAACCUCAUGAAGCCAUUGGCUAGAGUACUGAAAGCAAUCUAAAGACAUGGAUGUGGAAGGCCUGACGUAGAUAGAGAAGAUGCUCUUAGCUUUCAUUGUCUUUCUUUUGUAGUCAUCUAAUUUACCUCUCUCAUUUAUAUAAGGGCCCGUUUGUUUCCUUUUAUUUUGUGGAAUUGGAAUCUUACUAUUGGAAUAUACUAUAUUUUUAGAAUGUGACAUUCCACCACUCUCCAAAGUUAUCAUAUAAGCCUAUCUCAAAUUCAUGGGGUGAGAGAUGGAAAUUGAUUCUAUAGAUUACAUGCUAUUUUCCGAUGUACAACUUAUAACACACUCUUCUACUUGCUUCGUUAUAACAUGAAUGUAGUAUAUAACUAUCUCUCUCAUAUGAUUUAAGAUAAUAUACAAAUAUAUUACAUAUAUAAAUAUAUAAACUUAAUUAGGUUUAUCUAAAUUAUAAUUAUUAAAAUGGAAUUCAAUUCCAACGAAACAAACGGGGCCUAACUGUUUUUAAAAACUUUUCAAAUUGUCUCUUUCUUUACCCUAGACUUGACAAUUUUAAUGGUGAUUUUGCUAAUGUGGUGCCAUGUCAGAUAGAGGUAAUCUGAACUAGUUAAAAGCUCAGAGAGGUAAAUCGGGCUCUCAAAAUUCAUAAACUGUUUUUUAAAUAUCCAAAUAUUUUUACAUAAUAAAAUUUAGUUUAGUAUUAAAAAAUUGAGAUGAAUAUUGUUUUAUCUUCAAAAAUUAUAAAACUGAUAUUAAUUAUUUUUCCUUAAAAUCGUGCUCUAUCUUUGAUGUCUAGUUUGAGACGAUUAUAUAAUUUUUUGUGCUUAUCUACAGCGAGUUGAAGUACAUAGAAAUAUUAGUGGAGUCGUGCCGUGUGCGCCUGUAGCCACUCGCGCGCUACAGCCCAAGCGCUAGAGCCCAAGAGGCCGGAGGUGGAAGGCAUCGCGGCACUAUAGCCACUCGCCGCUAGAGCCCAAAAGGCCGGAGCUAGAAGGAUGAGGGUCUGGGUGUUCACGAAUCGCUUGAUUGGUUGGGUGCAUGGUUAUUAAAGCGGUAGAACGUUAAAAUAUUAUGAACAUCUUUUUAACAUUUAAACGUUGAAAUGAACGUUAAAACGUCUUUUCAAACUUGACAUAGAACUUCAAAUAUAGAAUAAGUUCAUAUAUAAGUUGAGUACUUGAGUUAAAAACCAAAUAGCACAAAAGGAAACAGAUCAAGUUCAACAACAUAAGUUCAACCACACAAGUUACAACUUGUAUCUAUGAUCAUUGAAUGUGAGAAAAAUCAAAAUAGAGCUGUCGGGGACCAUAAUUAGGGGUACCCUCAAGACGCCUAAUUCUCAGCUGGUAACCCCCAUCAGCAUAAAGCUGCAGAGGCCUGAUGGGUGCGAUUAAGUCAGGGAUCAGCCAUACGAGCGACUCGAUCACGCCUCGUCCGAGCCUAGCCUCGGGCAAGGGCAGCCGACCCCGAGGGGUUUCCGUCUCGCCCGAGGCCCCCCUUUUUACGGCGGACACAUCUCCGGCUCGCCCGAGGCCUUGCCUUCGCUAAGAAGCAGCCCUGACUAAAUCGCCGCGCCGAUCGACCGAGUCGCAGGAGCAUUUAACGCAAAGGUAGCCUGACACCUUUAUCCUGACGCGCGCCCCCCGGCAGAGCCGAAGUGACCGCCGUCACUUCGCCGCUCCACUGACCGGUCUGACAGGAGGACAGCGCCGCCUGCACCACUCCGACUGCAGUGCCACUUGACAGAGUGAGACUGACAGGCAGUCAGGCCUUGCCAAAGGCGCCAUAGGAAACUCCGCUCCGCCCGACCCAGGGCUCGGACUCGGGCUAAGGCCCCGGAAGACGGCGAACUCCGCUCCGCCCGACCCAGGGCUCGGACUCGGGCUAGGCCCCGGAAGACGGCGAACUCCGCUCCGCCCGACCCAGGGCUCGGACUCGGGCUAGGCCCCGGAAGACGGCGAACUCCGCUCCGCCCGACCCAGGGCUCGGACUCGGGCUAAGGCCCCGGAAGAUGGCGAACUCCGCUCCGCCCGACCCAGGGCUCGGACUCGGGCUAAGGCCCCGGAAGACGACGAACUCCGCUCCGCCCGACCCAGGGCUCGGACUCGGGCUCAGCCCCAGAAGACGACGAACUCCGCUUCGCCCGACCCCAGGGCUCGGACUCCGCCCUGGCCUCUACCGAACAACCUCCGCCUCGCCCGACCCAGGAGCUCGGGCUCGGCCUCGGCCAUGGAAGACAGACUCGACCCCGGCUUCGGAGGAGCCUCCACGUCGCCCGACCUAGGGCACAGGCCCGCCACGUCAACAAGAAGCGCCAUCAUCACCCUACCCCGAGCCGACUUGGGCCGCAGAGAACAAGACCGGUGUCCCAUCUGGCUAGCUCCGCCAGAUAGGCAAUGAUGGCGCCCCGCUAGCCUAGUGACGACGGCGGCUCUCAGCUCCCUUACGGAAGCAGGGGGACGUCAGCAAGGACCCAACCGCUCCGACAGCUGUCCCUCCGCCAGGCUCCGUUGCUCCUCCGACAGCCACGACACCACACCAGCAGGGUGCCAAGAUCUCUCCGGCUGCCACAUUGGCAUGUACUUAGGGCGCUAGCUCUCCCCCGCUAGACACGUAGCACUCUGCUACACCCCCAUUGUACACCUGGAUCCUCUCCUUACGCCUAUAAAAGGAAGGACCAGGGCCUUCUUAGAGAAGGUUGGCCGCGCGGGGACGAGGACGGGGCAGGCGCUCUCUUGGGGCCGCUCGCUUCCCUCACCCGCGUGGACGCUUGUAACCCCCUACUGCAAGCGCACCCGACCUGGGCGCGGGACGAACACGAAGGCCGCGGGAUUCCCACCUCUCUCACGCCCAUCUCCGGCCACCUCGCUUCCCCCCUUCGCGCUCGCCCACGCGCUCGACCCAUCUGGGCUGGGGCACACGGCACACUCACUCGUCGGCUUAGGGACCCCCCGGUCUUGGAACGCCGACAGUUGGCGCGCCAGGUAGGGGGAGGCUGCGUGUUGACGAGCAGUUUCCCGUCAAGUUCCAGAUGGGCAGUCUCCAACAACCUCUCCAACCCAGGACGGUGCUUCGUUUCGGGAGUCUUGAGUUCAUGUCCCUCGACGGCAGCUACGACAUGAUACUCCUUCCACCGCCGCGCGACAACGACAAUGGCGGCCGACAACCCGCCCGCCGGCGGCGGAAUCGACGACAUCUUCCCCGCGUGGCGGAAGAACACCAUUCGAGCUCGCCCCGUCCUCUCCCCCGCCAACGGAGGAGGAGGCGGGGCAACCAGGGCCAAGCGGGAGGCCGCGCUUCGUCGGCUGUCGAGCGAGUCGACGUCCCCAGCGCCCCAACGGGGGGCGCGACGGGCGUCGACCUCACGUUUGAGACGAAGGCGAGCGUCGUCCCCCCGCGACACGCCAAUCCCGAGCAAGUGGACGAUGUCAGCGCGCUCGCGAAGGGCCUGCAGGACGUCGCCCUCGUACCUAAGACGACGGCGCAAUCAGUCCCCGACGUGACUAUGUCGCUCCUCGUCGAUCAAAAUGUACUGACUGAUUCCCAUCCUACGUCAUUUCGACUCGGCCUCAACCCGCCUAGCGACCUCGCUUUGGCGGGCGCUCUCGUUGAGGCGAGUGCAACCCCUCUGGGGUUUCGUAUGCGGUCGCCUUGGGACCGAUUGACGGACGUCUCGACCUACGGACCCUCUGGGUCCGAGGAAGAUGACGAUCCCAGCAUCUGUCGGGAUUUCUCUGGAUUUGGCAACCCCAGUGCCAUGCGGGACUUUAUGACCGCAUGUGACUACUGCCUCUCCGACUGUUCCGAUGGUAGCCGCAGCCUUGACGACGAGGACUGCGGCCCAAGCCGCGAAUGUUUCCACGUCGAGCUAGGGGAUCCCUCCGAAGGCAACCAUCUCGGCAUGCCGGAGGACGGUGAUCUCCCUAGGCCGGUGCCUCGCGCCGACAUCCCGCGGGAGCUAGCUGUGGUCCCCGUUCCGGCGGGGGGUCACGACCCACAGCUCGAGCAAGUCCGCGGGGCGCAGGCCAGGCUCGACGAGGGAGCAGGAGCGCUCGAGUCGAUCCGCCGGGACGUCGGGCAGGUAUGGGCGGGCCAGCCCCCGGCCGGAGAAAUACGUCACCUGCCCCAGGGUUUCCAGCACCGCGUCGCCAACGACGUCAGGGUCAGGCCGCCACCCGCAUCCAGCGAGGUCGGUCAGAACCUGGCAGCCGCGGCGAUGCUCCUCCGUGCGAUGUCGGAGCCAUCAACCACCGAGGGUCGGCGAAUCCAGGGAGAGCUCAAGAAUCUUCUGGAAGGCGCUGCGGCCCGACGGGCCGAGAGCUCUGCCUCCCGAAGGCAGGGAUACCCCUCGGAAUCUCAUGCCGCGACUUCCCGAUUCAUGCGGGAAGCCUCGGUCUACACCGGGCGCACGCGCAACACCGCGCCUGCGGCCCCGGGCCACCUCGGCAACGAGCACCAUCGUCGCGACCGUCGGGCUCACCUCGACGAAAGGGUGCGCCGAGGCUACCACCCCAGGCGUGGGGGACGCUACGACAGCGGGGAGGAUCGGAGUCCCUCGCCCGAACCACCCGGUCCGCAGGCCUUCAGUCGGGCCAUCCGACGGGCGCCGUUCCCGGCCCGGUUCCGACCCCCGACUACUAUCACAAAGUACUCGGGGGAAACGAGACCGGAACUGUGGCUCGCAGACUACCGCCUGGCCUGCCAACUGGGUGGAACGGACGACGACAACCUCAUCAUCCGCAACCUCCCCCUGUUCCUCUCCGACACUGCUCGCGCCUGGUUGGAGCACCUGCCUCCGGGGCAGAUCUCCAACUGGGAUGAUUUGGUCCAAGCCUUCGCCGCCAAUUUCCAGUGCACGUACGUGCGCCCCGGGAAUUCCUGGGACCUUCGAAGCUGCCGGCAACAGCCGGGAGAGUCUCUUCGGGACUACAUCCGGCGAUUCUCGAAGCAGCGCACCGAGCUGCCCAACAUCACCGACUCAGAUGUCAUCGGCGCGUUCCUUGCCGGCACCACCUGCCGCGACCUGGUGAGCAAGUUGGGUCGCAAGACCCCCACCAGGGCGAGCGAGCUGAUGGACAUCGCCACCAAGUUCGCCUCUGGCCAGGAGGCGGUCGAGGCCAUCUUCUGAAAGGACAAGCAGCCCCAGGGCCGCCCGUCGGAAGAGGCUCCCGAGGCGUCUACUCCGCGCGGCGCCAAGAAGAAAGGCAAGAAGAAGUCGCAAGUGAAACGCGACGCUGCCGACGCAGACCUUGUCGCCGCCGCCGAGUACAAGAACCCUCGGAAGCCCCCCGGAGGUGCUAACCUCUUCGACAAGAUGCUCAAGGAGCCGUGCCCCUACCAUCAGGGGCCCGUCAAGCACACCCUCGAGGAGUGCGUCAUGCUUCGGCGCCACUUCCACAAGGCCGGGCCACCUGCAGAGGGUGGCAGGGCCCGCGACGACGACAAAAAGGAAGAUCACCAAGCAGGAGAGUUCCCCGAGGUCCGCGAUUGCUUCAUGAUCUACGGAGGGCAUGCGGCGAAUGCCUCGACUCGGCAUCGCAAGCAAGAGCACCGGGAGGUCUGCUCGGUGAAGGUGGCGGCGCCAGUCUACCUAGACUGGUCCGACAAGCCCAUCACCUUCGACCAAGCUGACCACCCCGACCACAUGCCGAGCCCAGGGAAAUACCCGCUCGUCGUCGACCCCAUCGUCGGCGACGUCAGGCUCACCAAGGUCCUGAUGGAUGGGGGCAGCUGCCUCAACAUCAUCUACGCCGAGACCCUCAGGCUCCUGCGCGUCGAUCUGUCCUCCGUCCGAGCAGGCGCUGCGCCCUUCCACGGGAUCAUUCCUGGGAAGCGCGUCCAGCCCCUCGGACGGCUCGACCUUCCCGUCUGCUUCGGAACGCCCUCCAACUUCCGAAGGGAGAUUUUGACGUUCGAGGUGGUCGGGUUCCGAGGAACCUACCACGCGGUGCUGGGGAGGCCAUGCUACGCGAAGUUCAUGGUCGUCCCCAACUACACCUACCUGAAGCUCAAGAUGUUGGGCCCCAACGGGGUCAUCACCGUCGGCCCCACGUACAAACACGCGUUCGAAUGCGACGUGGAGUGCGUGGAGUACGCCGAGGCCCUCGCCGAGUCCGAGGCCCUCAUCGCCGACCUGGAGAACCUCUCCAAAGAGGUGCCAGACGUGAAGCGACAUGCCGGCAACUUCGAGCCAGUGGAGACGGCUAAGACCGUCCCCCUCGACCCCAGUGGCGACGCCUCUAAGCAGAUCCGGAUCGGUUCCGAGCUCGACCCCAAGUAAGAAGCAGUGCUCGUCAACUUUCUCCGCGCGAACGCCGACGUUUUCGCGAGGAGUCCCUCGGGCAUGCCCGGCGUACCAAGGGAUGUCGCCGAGCACUCGCCGGAUAUUCGGGCAGGAGCCCGACCCGUCAAAUGGCCUCUGCGCGGAUGACACCCGGGGGCUGCGCACACCCCCGGGAAAGGCCGCUUGUCAUCAUCGACGUUCUGGAGCCCGAAACGCACAAGUUGGCCGGCGGUCAAGGCGAGGUCUACAGCAACGCUCGGAACGUCCGACAGCUACGUCGCUUCUACCCUUAAGACGUUUUCAAGCUGUUCGUACACCUCGCUCCCGCGCAAGUCUCAGUCAUCAAGGAAGGGCCGGCCUCGCCUCGGCAGAGCCCGACCCUCCCUCGGGGGCUAAAAAGGGGGAACCUCCCUGCGUCAAGACUGGGUGUACCUCUCCGCGUCCAAAAUUUUCGAUCAAAAAAGGCUUUUUGCGUUCUCCCGGCUAUAUCAGAAGCAGGGCCCCAAGGAGCAAACGUGGGUGCAUGUAAGUGGCAAGGCCGACUGGGCCGAGGGAUUCCUAUACCUUCGGGUUAAGGACACCCUCACUCGUCACCCGCCACGAAGAAUGACCCCUGCUCGGGAAGCCACCCUGUUAUUGACGAACAAAGUCGGACACGCAAAAUAAAAGGAAGAGUACGACUUCAUGCAAUAGAAGCAAAGUGUUCAGGCCUCGGCGGCCACAGGAGGACGCGCGCACAUCCAACAGAAACUGGUCCAACAAGAGUUAGGCGUCGCCUUGGGAAGGAGCCGCGCCUUCAGCUCCGUCUCCGCCUUCGGUGAGGUCCAUCUCGGCUUCCGGCGACGGCGCAGGGGGGAGGAUUUCCGCCUCAAAGGUGGUCGCCAGCACUGCGCUCGGACCCGCGACGACCGUGUCGAGUCGCUGGAUUUCCGCCAGGGCAGCUUCGUCUUCGUCAGGAAGACAAUACCCCUUGCUAACCCGCUCCAGGUCCACAACGUAGUGGGAAGCAAGCACGGCGAAGGCCCGCCUGACGCCGUGGUGUAGCGCCUCGCGGAGCCUGCCGCGCGCGUGAUCGCCCAAGGCUUCAAGGCGGCUUUGAGGGGAGCUUCCUGAGGGGACGUCGCCGGAGCCAAGGACCCGAUAAACGUCCGAGAUGGCUUCGGACAUGGCCGUGAAGUCGGCUUCCCUCUGCUCGGCCGCCCCGGCAAGCGCCUCGGCAAGCGCCUUGGCGGACUCCUCGAGGGCGGACUCGAGCUCUGCGAACAACCAGAAGAAAAACCUCAAACACAAGCAGAGGAAACAAACAAGAGCAAGAACCAAGGAUGGUCAAGGCUUACCCCCGGCCCGGGCGCGCUGCUCUGAGGUCGCGGCCUGGGCCGCGGCUAAGUCGGCCACGAGGGCGUCGGCCCGGCUUUCGGCCUCAGCAGCCCGGCCCCGAGAUCGGUCCCGCUCCUUGACGACCUGGACGAGCUCCGACCGCUGCCGUUGCACCUCUGCGCCCGCCGCGGCCGCCUCCGUGCGCGCCGCUGCCGCCUCGGCUCUCAGGUCAGCGCAGAGCAACUGGAGGUCCGCUACCUCGGCACCCUGCUGGGAAAGGCGCGCAGUGGCCCUGGCAAGCGAGGUCCUCAGGGACCGCAACGAGCCCCAGACAUCGACUUCGCGGCGGAUGAACGACGACUUGGCGGCGCUCCGACCCGACAGAUCCUGAGGGAAGGAAGCGGGGCGUCACGAAAAACGCCUCGGUCACAGAAGAAAAACAAAGGUAUGCCCGAAACCGUUACCUGGAGGAGUUUGGGGACGUCCCCGCAGAAAACCUCCAGCAACGACCGGAGCGACCCCACCGUUGCUUCGGCACGCUCGCGGAGCUCGUCCCAAGACUGGUCCUCCCGUUCAUCAUCGAGAACGAAGACGGGGUCCGAGGCCUCACGGGUCCGGAACCGGAGCAACUCGCGCCGGACCUCGGGGCUCCGCCGCACAGCGACGAGGCCGUCGCCCGGCAGGACGAAUCGAGCCUCCCCACCCGCCUCUUCCGAGGCACCAGGCGCCGACGCAUCAACCGACUCGGCGUCGACAGCCACCGGACGCUCCUCAACCGGGACGGCGGCGACUUCGGUAGCGAUAGGCGCCGGCAUGGCCGGCACCACCGGUGGGCUUAGGACCACGUCGGCGUCAGUCGCCUCUCCUAUCACAAUGGCCGCCUCGGCAGAGGAGCCGGCCUCGGGAACCUGCUCCACGGCGACUGGCGCCGUCUGAGCCCCCUGAGGUGGAACGCCGUGCGAGAGGGUCGGUUGAACGGCAAGGCCCGAAGCGGCGCUGGCCGCACAAGCCGGCGUCUUCUUAAGUGCCUUCCGGGGUGCCAGGUCGGUCAGCCCAUGGCUUCGCUUGCUGAGGAGAAAAGAAAAAUCACGGCCGAGACCUAUGAAUGGGAAGCCAAGACGAAGACAUUCCGAGGUACUUACCCACUUCGGGCCAUGAUCCACCACGCCUGGGGGGAGGUUUCUUGGAUCCCGGCUCCCGAAACAGUCGCCGAGGUCCGCUUCGCCGGCAACUUCGGCGCCACCUUUGCUUUGGACGCCCGGGGAGCAGAUGGCCCGGGCACGGUCGCGAUGACUCGAGGGUCACCCCCAUGCGCUGCCGGUACGAGCGGCGGCCCCUGGGGAGCAGACGCCCUGACCUGGCCCUCCGCAGCCACCUCAGCUCCUCCAGCCGAGGGGUCAGGUGACCUCUCGGGUCGUCCCCGUGCCUCGGGCCGGGACCCCGACGCCCCAACUCCGGGGACUGACGGUGUCGGCCCGCUCGGGGGCUGGCUCGACGGCUCCUGGCCACACCCCAAGCCGGGGCUGAGGCCGAGACGGGCGGCCAUGUCGUCCUCCUCCUCAUCGUCGUCGUCAUCAUCGUCGUCGGGUGUCUCCGGCGACGGCUCCCUUGGGAGUCCUUCCCUCUCCUGCUGACGACGGUGCUUCUCCAAGGCGUCCCGAGCCCGCCUCCGCUCGCGGGCCCGGGCCUUCUCCGCGUCCUUCUUCUUCUUCUUCUCCUCCGCGGCGACUCGCCGCGCUGCUCGGUCCACCGCGUCCUCCGGGACCCGUGGUAGGGAGGGCUUGUGCCACCCCACCUCCUAAAGAAGGGGGGAAAGAAACCCAAUCGUAAGAGCCAGGAGCAACCCGAUGUAUGAAGAAGGAAGGAGCGAACACUCACCAGAGUUACGCACCCCUGGUCGGGGCGCAUCCGAAGCUGGGAGAAGGCGUGGGAGUCCGGCUUCCCCAUCGCAGCCGACACCCGCCAUUGGAGGGCGUCGAAGGGAAGAGGAUCAGGGGACAUCCGCGAGCCCUCCCAGUCGGCCUCCGGGGUCAUCUCCCAAAGCGACAGCCGCCGCUCCGCCAAGGGAAGCACCCUCCGACGGUGGAUGGCGGCAAUCACUCCCGCAGCGGUGAGUCCCCCUUCCCGCAACGCCUCCAAGGCCUGGAGGAGUGGCUCGAGGUUCUUCUGCCUCUCGUGCGGGGUCCCGUGGCGCCAGGCGUCGGUGGCAGCGGAGAUUACUCGCUGGGAGAACGGCCGGAGCAACUCGUCGUCGUUCCGGAGGUAGAACCACCGGCGCUGCCACCCCUUGUUCGAGGACACAAGGAUGGCAGGAAUAUACAGCGACGCCCGCGACUGCCUCAGCAGAAGGGUACAGCCGCCGGCCCGCACCGCUGCACGGACUUUCCUCUCCCCCGUCGGCGAGGCGAAAAGCUCCGCGCAAAAGAAAUGGGUCCACAAAUCCCAAUGGGGGGCGAUCCCCAAGUACCCCUCACACACCGCAACGAAGAUGGCGGCCUGCGAGAUGGAGUUGGGGGUGAGGUUAUGCAACUCCACCCCAUAGUGGUACAGGAUCGCCCGCAUGAAGCGGCCCGCCGGCACGCCGAAUCCCUGCUCGUGGAAGGAGACAAAGCUCACGAUGUACCCCGGCGGUGGGGACGGAGCGGCUUCACCUGCGGGAGGAAUCCAUUUCGGUCGCUGCUUAUUGGUGAGGGGACGGAGCAAACCCUCGCCGACCAGAUCUUCCAGGUCGCUCGCCGUCACCGUGGAAAGGGGCCAUGGAUCACGCGGCGGAAUGAUAGUCACCCGCUCAGCCAUCACCAAGCUAAAGGGGAUGGCGACGCGAAGGGCAGGAAGGGCGGUUCUCUCUUCUCUGGCUAGAUCUCUCGGGUUGCGAAAACCUAAGGGGCAGGCAGGAAGCGGAGCAAAGAACCGUCACCGGACCCUCUCCGGGGUAUAUAAAGACCAAGGCGAAGACGGUUCCAACGUUCCGCCCGGACCGGACGCGGGAUUAAAAGACGCGAAGCGAAACGGCCGCUCCUCGAACGGCUCGCGCACGCGCAACGGCAGCCCCGCCAACUACUCGCCCCGUCGCAUUAACUCCGCGACUGGACAGGCGGCACUUCUGGCAGGAGCAACGGGCGACGCUUCGCCUUCGCCGAAACAACCGCGCCGAAAAAGGUACGCCGCGUCGUUCGGUUUCGUAUCCUUUUCCCUUUUUCCUCUUUUCUCUAUCUCUUGCGAUAGGGACCGGGAAAGGGGGAUACCCCGAAAAGGAUCCUUCCCCGUGAAGGAGCCAGGCUCCGAGCCUCCUUACUGAUCAGGGGUUCGAAGGCUGCCCCCCGAAGGGUUCAACAGCCGCCUCAGAUCGCGUGGGCCCUACACCCACUACUAGUCAGAGGUUCGAAGGCCGGCCCCCCGAAGGGUUCCACGGCCGCCUCAGGCUACUCGGGCUCCACGCCCAUUACUGAUCAGGGGUUCGAAGGCUGGCCCCCGAAGGGUUCACAGUCGCCUCAGACGCCGAGCGAGGGAUGACCAGGGGUACGUUCGAUACAUAACCAAGGCUCGGGCUGCGCUCCCGAGGUACCCUAGGACAUUUCCGAGACCAGCGGGAGCGAUCUUGUAACGGAAUCCCAUCGGAGGGAGGCAUCGAGCCCUCGGACCCCGUCGCCAAGGGACCGGGUCCGGCAGAUCACCCGCAGGUACUUUUGGGCGUGCCUCUGGGCCCCUAGCCGACCCCCAACGAACGGGGCACGGACGUCCACUCGGAUUACCCGCUUGCAGCUCACCGGAGACACCAUGUUCGGUGCCCAUCGAGGGUAACAUGGCGCUCUCCCCCCUCCUCCUUGCGGAAAGGCGACGUAGGGGCGUAUGUAAAAAAAGCCGAGUCUGUCCCUGAUCGCCCUCUCGCCCUGUGCGGAGGCUCGGGGGCUGCUCUCGCAAACCCGGCUCCGGCCGAACCGUUGACAGCGUCAACAUACCAGCCCGAGAACUUGGGCCCCGACCGUGCUCCCGGGCUACGGCCAGUUCGCAUGAGGGAACCACCAGACCAGCCGAAGCAUUACGCAAGGCGUUAAGACCUCGAAGGAGUGAAACCACUCCUCCGAGGCCUCGGGGGCUACACCCGGCGGGUGCGCUCGCGCGCACCCACCGGAACAAAAUGCAACCGAGAAAGACUGGUCCCCUUGCAAAAAAGUGCGAGGAAAGCCUCCAAGCGAGUGCUAACACUCCCUUCGAGGCUCGGGGGCUACUGUCGGGGACCAUAAUUAGGGGUACCCUCAAGACGCCUAAUUCUCAGCUGGUAACCCCCAUCAGCAUAAAGCUGCAGAGGCCUGAUGGGUGCGAUUAAGUCAGGGAUCAGUCCAUACGAGCGACUCGAUCACGCCUCGCCCGAGCCUAGCCUCGGGCAAGGGCAGCCGACCCCGAGGGGUUUCCGUCUCGCCCGAGGCCCCCCUUUUUACGACGGACACAUCUCCGGCUCGCCCGAGGCCUUGCCUUCGCUAAGAAGCAGCCCUGACUAAAUCGCCGCGCCGACCGACCGAGUCGCAGGAGCAUUUAACGCAAAGGUAGACUGACACCUUUAUCCUGACGCGCGGCCCCCGGCAGAGCCGAAGUGACCGCCGUCACUUCGCCGCUCCACUGACCGGUCUGACAGGAGGACAGCGCCGCUUGCGCCACUCCGACUGCAGUGCCACUUGACAGAGUGAGACUGACAGGCAGUCAGGCCUUGCCAAAGGCGCCAUAGGAAACUCCGCUUCGCCCGACCCAGGGCUCGGACUCGGGCUAAGGCCCCGGAAGACGGCGAACUCCGCUCCGCCCGACCCAGGGCUCGGACUCGGGCUAGGCCCCGGAAGACGGCGAACUCCGCUCCGCCCGACCCAGGGCUCGGACUCGGGCUAGGCCCCGGAAGACGACGAACUCCGCUCCGCCCGACCCAGGGCUCGGACUCGGGCUAAGGCCCCGGAAGAUGGCGAACUCCGCUCCGCCCGACCCAGGGCUCGGACUCGGGCUAAGGCCCCGGAAGAUGGCGAACUCCGCUCCGCCCGACCCAGGGCUCGGACUCGGGCUCAGCCCCAGAAGACGACGAACUCCGCUCCGCCCGACCCAGGGCUCGGACUCGGGCUCAGCCCCAGAAGACGACGAACUCCGCUUCGCCCGACCCCAGGGCUCGGACUCCGCCCUGGCCUCUACCGAACAACCUCCGCCUCGCCCGACCCAGGAGCUCGGGCUCGGGCUCGGCCAUGGAAGACAGACUCGACCCCGGCUUCGGAGGAGCCUCCACGUCGCCCGACCUAGGGCACAGGCCCGCCACGUCAACAGGAAGCGCCAUCAUCACCCUACCCCGAGCCGACUCGGGCCGCAGAGAACAAGACCGGUGUCCCAUCUGGCUAGCUCCGCCAGAUAGGCAAUGAUGGCGCCCCGCUAGCCCAGUGACGACGGCGGCUCUCAGCUCCCUUACGGAAGUAGGGGGACGUCAGCAAGGACCCAACCGCUCCGACAGCUGUCCCUCCGCCAGGCUCCGUUGCUCCUCCGACAGCCACGACACCACACCAGCAGGGUGCCAAGAUCUCUCCGGCUGCCACAUUGGCAUGUACUUAGGGCGCUAGCUCUCCCCCGCUAGACACGUAGCACUCUGCUACACCCCCAUUGUACACCUGGAUCCUCUCCUUACGCCUAUAAAAGGAAGGACCAGGGCCUUCUUAGAGAAGGUUGGCCGCACGGGGACGAGGACGGGGCAGGCGCUCUCUUGGGGCCGCUCGCUUCCCUCACCCGUGUGGACGCUUGUAACCCCCUACUGCAAGCGCACCCGACCUGGGCGCGGGACGAACACGAAGGCCACGGGAUUCCCACCUCUCUCAUGCCCGUCUCCGGCCACCUCGCUUCCCCCCUUCGCGCUCGCCCACGCGCUCGACCCAUCUGGGCUGGGGCACGCGGCACACUCACUCGUCGGCUUAGGGACCCCCCGGUCUCGGAACGCCGACAAGAGCCUAAAACAUUGGUCUCAUAUUCUCAUAUGACCAGAUUUCUCACCAAAUGACUAAAUGGAGCAACUGGCACUCUCUGAAUUUGAACCUAGGUGUCUCACUGUCAAUGUCUAAAUUUGAACCUAGGUGCCUCAUUGUCACUAAAAACAUGAACAUGGGCUAGGCGUUGGCUACUGGAAACCUGAACCUCGGAUGGACGCUGGCUGCUGGAGGAUGGUGGAGGGAGGAGGGGGCAGAGGAGAGGAGAGGAGAGGCAGGGCACUGGCUGUUAGAGGAUGGUGGAUGGAGGAUGUGGCACUAGCUGGAUGCUGGCGUUUACCGCUGGAUGACAUAGGGUUUUCUAUUUUUUUUUGGCUCAAGAAAAGCCCAUAAACGAGUAGAACGUAUUAAACGCAUGUAAAACACUUUAAAACGUGUCGAGGACGCUUAAGCAAUGUUAACGGAAGUUCUACACCAUUUUGUUAAAACACCAAGACGUUUUAACUCUAAAUCACGUUUUGUCGUUUAAACGGCGCUUAAACAACGUUUUAAUAAAAAUGAUUGGGUGGGCAUGUGCACACAGGCGAGGCCGGCUGGAUAUGUCUAUUUUGAGUGUAUCUCCGGAUGCAGCUAAAAUCACUUUUUUUGCAUCUGCUAAUGCUACGCAUCUUGAGUAUACAAUCAAACAGCAACUCAGAUAAAGACAACUUAUGUGGUGUCUUAUAGUUAUAUGGUGCGGGUAACGGAUAGGAAUUGCGUCAGGAGCCUCGUCGUCCGGAGCCACAGGCCUGGAGACGUCCUGGAUAAGGUGACCAGCCGCUGCGAUAGGGGCGCGUGUGAACCCCGUCGCGCCACACGGAUGGUAUAAGAGUAAAGACAACCUUUUCGCCGAACCCCCCCUCGGAAGGAUGGCGGCGGCGGUUUCCAGGGCCAUCUGCGUCCAGAAACCGGGCUCCAAAUGCAGCAGGGACAGGGAAGCGACCUCCUUCGCCCGCCGAACGGUCGCGGCGCCGAGGCCCCCGCGCGCCAAAGCCGCCGGCGUCAUCCGCUCCGACUCCGGCGCGGGACGGGGCCAGCAGUGCUCGCCGCUGAGGGCCGUCGUUGACGCCGCGUCGAUACAGACGACCAAAAAGGUAUCCCUUGCAGCCCUUAGAAACUGAAUUCGCGAGGCAGCCAGCAAUAGCCGGGAACAUUUUUGAUUGGCCGGAUACAUGUAUGUUGCUGUGACUGCUGAGAUGAAAAUUAACGGACAGGAAACACAUAAAUAAACGACAGCCAAGCCAUCCGUGCGCUCUCCUUGUGGUUUCUGCAGGCUGCAGCAGCUGCCACCCCCGCGCCACAUGGACGCACGGUGGACGGUGCUCUGCCUCUCCCGCGAACGCCGUGACCGGGUACUAGCUAGCUUAGCGGAGACGGACGGCCGCGCGCCCGCGGAUUUGCGGAAGCUGUGUCGCCGGCCGUGCUGCUAUCUAUCCCAUCGUCUAACAGGCGACCCAUCCAGUCAGUGGUCAGUAGGAGAGAGAAGAACUAACUCCAGCGUCCGAUCGGGACGCCACUCGCUCGCUCACAAGCAAGACACUAGCUACUCUCAACUACAACAACGCUAGUAAAGCCUAAACACACACACACACACACACACAAGCAAAGCGAGCAACGUACGUUCGUCAGCGCGUCCUUGUGAGUUGUGAAACAGAAAGCGCGCGCUAUAGCUAUAGCUAACAUUAUUCUAUUAUAAUUUAGCUAACAUUAUUCUAUUAUGAUUAUUUACUUUAGAAAGGAUGAAUUCUAAAGUUCAAUUAUUUAUCAAAGGUAUUUAUUUUGAUUUUGAUUAUUAUUAUUAUUAUUAUUUUCUCUAAAGAUUUUUCUUAAAUCACAAGUUAAGAUUUUGGUUGUUACAGAGCAAAUGGCGCCUCAGUCUCCCGCGCGCAAGCUACAACGGUUCAGGGUCCGGUGCUGCGGCGGCUGAGCCGUCUACCGUGGGAGACACCUUGGAACGGGAGGAGGGCGGCGGCACAGAGGCAGGCGCUUCGGCUGAUGAGUCAUCCAACCGGAAGCAGCCGCCCCCUGUUGACCCCAAGAUUGAGAAGGAGCUCAAGAAGGUUCCUUUGCUUCCUUUGUUCCCUUGGUUUAUCAGUCUUUUUUUUUUCUUGGCUAAAUUCUAUGAACUUACGCGACAAGAGCUACCUUGCAAUUUGUAGGCAAAGGAAUAAUUGGUGUAUAUGAUUUACUAUCAGUCUAGAUUUGUCUUUCUUUUUUUACGCAGUACGUAUUACGUAGUUUAGAACAUUUAAAAAAAACGGUCACUCUUCACUACUAAUACAGCUAACAAAACUCACCAUUGAAUCAACCAAUUUUACUCACCAUUGGAUCAACCGAUUUUAUAUGGGUGCAACACAGUUGUAAUUCCUUAUACUGAAUACUGAUUGUAGUUAUGGUUCAUUGUUGAACAACAGGUAGUUCAGAAGACUGCGGCAACCUUUGCACCAAGGGCGUCCACGAAAACAAAGAACCCUGCUGUCCCUGGAAGUACCCUGUACACCGUCUUUGAAGUCCAGGGCUAUGUUUCCAUGCUGUUGGGCGGAGCACUUUCCUUCAAUCUCAUAUUCCCAUCGAAUGAGCCAGACAUCUGGAGGUUAAUGGGAAUGUGGUCCAUUUGGAUGUUCAGUAAGUAAGAAUUUUGCAAGUUUUGUUCUUAGUAAGAGCACAUCGUUGAUAUGGUCUACUAGAGCCUGAUGUUUAUCUUUGUAUUGCAGUCCAAAACUGUGCUUUGUUUCCUACACUGGAUAAUAUAAGUGAUUGAUUUAUUGUGUCACUUCUACAUAGUUGAGAUCUUUAUGAUAUUGGUGCAUGUUGUAUUUAUUGCACCAUGAUUGUUUGGAUGCACAUUUAUCCAUCUAGGAGCAGAUUGGAGUGAAAUUUAGUUUAACUUUCACUUCGACACAUGCGAAUUGAGAUAAAUGCAUGUGCAUACAAACGAGCCUUAGAUGAAUUAACGACACAUAUGACCUAUCUACCCAUGUAUCUCUUGAUAUUAUUAUAACUAGCAUUUCCAUUAAGGACCUAUUCGUUCUAAUCUCAAUCUAAAUGAAUUGAAGGGGGAUGGGAGGGAUUUGAUCCCUUACAAGUCAAAAUAGUGUUUCAUCCUCUCCAAUACACUUAGAUUGGGGAUGAAAUGAACUAGUCCUAAGUGUUUGUUCUGUUUGGUGUGGAACAAGUCCUAAGGGUUUGUUCUGUUUGGUGGGGACUGAAGGGGAAUUGAAACUUGAAACGGUUGACGAGGCUGAAAUCUCCAACAAGUCAUUCCCUUCAAUCCCCCUAAGGGCUUGUUCGGUUAUUUUCAAUCCAUAUGAAUUGGAGGGGAUUGAUACGGAUUGGGGGAGAUUUUGACUUACUAGGGAUUGAAAUCCCCCUCAAUCCAUAUGGAUUGGGAUAGAACCGAACAAGCCUUAAGGGUUUGUUCGGAGGAAUGCUGUCUGAGGAUGAUUUCAAAUGUGUCCAAGGGUAUUGCAUAGGCUUCAAUGGUGAAGCUUUCAUUGUUGAUGUUGAUUGAUGCCUGCCGAUUGAUCCCCUGGCAGAACAACGGGUCGCAUUAGCCACCUUAACAUGGCGCCCUAGUGUUGGUUCCAAUGUAAUCCUGCUGCGCUGGGCUGCUGUGCAGUCAAUGAAGUUAUGAGUGGAACCUGUAUCCAGAAGGGCCAGUAGUUCCUGUCCAUUUAAGGCCACCCGCAGUUGCAUUGUGUCUUCAGUCCUGAUCCCGAUGAUUGCAUGCAGGGAGGCAACCGGGUCCUGGUCAUCUUGCUCCUCCUCAGCCGUGCUCUUGGUUUCAUCGUCUGCAAAAUAUGUGGCCUCAAGAUAGAACAACCGAGGACACUUGUGGCCACGCACAUACGGAUCAUCACAAUUAUAGCAUAGGCCUUGCUUCCUUCUUUUGGCCAUCUCCGCGGGGGUGAGGCACUUGAAUGGGAUAGGAGCCUGUGUUGGUGGCUGCAGUGGACCACUCCUUGUUGUAUUCUCUGGCAGAGGCAUGAUGACUGGUGGCCGACUUGGGGUUCUGGAGUUUCUGCCGGCCUGCUGCUGAUGUGGAGCUCCGUCAAUGACUUGAGCACGGCGUUCAUAUGCCCGUGCCAGUCGAGAAGCCUGCUACAGAUUCUGCAGGUUCAUGAGCUCGACGUCAAUCUUAAUUCGUUCUGGCAAUCCCGCCGUGAAGAGCUGCACUUGCUGGUCAGGUGCCAAUGAAGAGGUGUGGCACAACAGAGACGAGAACCGCUCCUGGUAUUCAUCCAUGGUUGUCCGGAAGCGAAGAUGGGCCAAUUCUCCCAAUGGAUCGUUGUGCAACGGCGGUCCAAAGCGCUCAUUGCAGAGAUCCUUGAAUUGAGGCCAUGUCACCGUUGUGCAGUCCCGUUCCACCAUAAAAUACCAUGUAUGUGCGGCUCCCUUGAGGUAGUAGGAGGCGAGCUACACUUUGUCAUCCUCGAGCAUCCGCUGUCCCCGAAAGAACGGUUCACAAUGGUUGAGCCAUUCGAGAGGAUCCUCUUUCCCAUCAAAUGUCGGGAGCUCUAUCUUGUAGUGUCGCGGUGGUUGGCCAUCAAAAGGGUGCAGGGAGGGAUGGGUUGGGUUUUGGUGUGGUGGCUGUUGUGGUAUGUAUGGUGGAAAGGAUGGAAUGGGUGAUGGCGAGUGUGGCAUGGGAAUUUGGUGGAUCGACACUGGAUUGUGGGGUGUGGGGGGAAAAGCACUGGCUGCUGGUGGUGCUGUGGUGGUAUGGUGGAGGUGGAGGGAGCCUGCGUCUCCGGAAUCCCACCAUAACCAGGGAGGCCAUAAGGAAAACCUGGAUGGUUGUCGGCGACGGACACGCUGGGAGCAGUGUGGCCAUCGAUCUUGCAUGGACAGAUUGGAAACCCUGGUGGCAAGAUCAGCAAGGGCCUUCGUCAUGGUUUCAAUCUUCUGCUCUAUGGUGGAGUUCAGCGCACCAGUAAAUGCCACCUCGUUGCUGUGAUCUUCGGUUCCUGGCACCUCUGAUACUAGAUUGGUAUGUCUUCGGCUCCUCAGGUUAUAGUUGUGGGUGGAGAUGUGUCGCGCCCUGGGCGCGUGUGGGUGAUGGGAGGCUGUGAUCUCCUCACGGCAAGGAGGAAGACAUGCAAGAGUUAGGGUGAGGCGGCGGUAGAUGAACUCUAUGUUGAUCUCUGCCUAAUCCUUUUAUUGAUUACCAGGUAGGUUAAGUUCCGGACAAGGUUCAGGCCUUCUUCAGUAUGGUCAUGCAAACGGAAGUUGGGAACGGUGCUAAUACUCUUUUUUGGAAGGAUCGAUGGAUUCAAGGACAGAGGGUGGCUGAUAUUGCGCCAAGACUUCUUCAAGUUGUUCCGAAAAGAAAAAUCAAUAUAAGGACAGUGCAAGAAGCUAUAACUGGAAGAGCAUGGAUGUCGGAUAUUCGAGGGGCCCUAUCUGUGGGGGCAAUUGUUGAUUAUCUUCACCUCUCUGUUAGCUGCUGAAUGAAGGCAGAAUGUUGAAGAUAAGCACAUUUUUAGGCUGGCUGCCAAUGGAAAAUAUUCAGCGAAAUCUGCCUACGAGGGGCUUUUCAUUGGCUCGAUUCCUUUUGAACCAUAUGAGAGGAUAUGGAAAACCUGGGCGCCUCCUAAAUGUCGGUUUUUUCUGUGGUUAGUUGCUCAAAAAAGGUGUUGGAUAGCUGAUCGUCUUGCAAAAAGAGGAUUGGAUCACCCUGAUAGCUACCUCUUUGUGAACAAGAAAGUGAAACAAUAGACCAUCUACUGGUCUCUUGUGUUUUCUUAAGGGAGUGUUGGUUCAUUUUUUUGAGACAAUUUGGACUGCAUACUCUGUCCCCUCAACCAGAAAAUGAUAGUUUCCUGGAAUGGUGGAGGACAAUAAGUGAAAUGGCAGCUGGACAAAUGAAGAUGGGGAUUAACUCCCUUGUUUUGUUUGGUGCUUGGACCUUAUGGAAGCACCGUAAUCAGUUUGUCUUCAAGGGCGGCAAUCCGAGUGUUGCUGCUGUUCUGGAGCAGGUUGGAGAAGAGCGAAGGUUGUGGGAGAUGGCUAAGGGGUUUAUUUUCCUAGCAGCUAAUCUUCCUCACGGCUAAUUUCUGUUCAAGGGUUGUUUUUCUGUUUUGAGGGGUUUAAACCUCAGUGUCAUGGCUUGUAAGGGCUUCGGCCCAACUUUUUUCUUCUUCUUAAAUAUAAUGAUAUACAGCUCUCCUUCAUAUUCGAGAAAAUAAAUACCCUUCUAUUACAGACUAAUCUGAUAAGGUCUUUAGUCUUUAUCCAAGGCUACAACGGGCCAAGCUACCAGCCCAUCUAGCGUACAUAUCCCCAAUUGGGAUCAGCUAAGCCGGGUUAGCCCCAUGAUUAGGACUCCCAGACUUGGCUCUACGCCUGUAGUUAAUACCGGCCAUAACAUCUAUAUUCAAGAUGUUAAACCAUAAAGCUGAAACUGCAGCUUCAAUUCAUUAUUUUGAAGUCUAACGUAUAAUGAUUAAUGAAUUAUCUUUGAUUUAAUAAUAUGUGGACUUCAUUUACUAAGGUGUUAGACAUACAAUGAAUCCACACAAGUUAAAUCUUUUUUAUUUCACAAUCUGAUUUUGAUUGGCAACACUUUGAUCUUAAUUCACAUGUAGAUUUCAAUUAAAACCGAGAUACGUCUGAAGAGUCCUUAUGGUAUUCUUGGAAUUAUAGGCACUAACCUGUUCGAACUUCAAAGCCCUUCGACCAAUGGAAUUUUACUAGAUGAGUAGAUGUGGCCACAGUUGCAUCAGUGAAGUCUCAAACUUAAGGCCACUUGGCUGAUAGGCCCUGAUAUAUCUUAUUUCAGUUAAAUGCACGUGACAGUUCAUUUAAAAUUCCAAGCUAGUGAGGAAAGUUGGCAACAAUAUUUCGGUAUUAUUAUACAUGAGAAAUUCCUGUUGUUGAUGUUGGAGUUACAAGAAUUUAAUACUUUGUGGCCAUAUCUUGAAACUUUGACUCUUGUUUGCUUAUCUCUUACUGCCUACGAGCCUUUUCCUCUAUACUAAUGGAGCAUUAUCUACUUCUGCAGCUAUACCUUCGCUUCGGGCUCGUGACUGCUCCAAUAAAGAGAAAGAAGCUCUCAACUACUUAUUUCUCCUGAUUCCUCUGAUCAACGUUAUGAUUCCAUUCUUCGUGAAGUCCUUUGCUGUUGUUUGGUCAGCAGAUACAGUUGCUUUCUUCGUGAUGUAUGCAUGGAAGGUAACUUCUCAUGCUAGUGUUUUCUGGUUCUUCGGACGAAGUCCUUAAAAUAUCUUAAAUCAUGUUUUUAUCCACAGCUUGGAUGGCUGCAAAGGUUGAAAUGAAGAUUUUUGGUGUGCUCUCUUGGUGAUGUGUGUAUGAAAGGUACUUUGCCAUUUUAACGUUGUCUGUUCUUUUAAUAUUCAGUUCUUAAUAUAUUCAUAUUAUUUCUGUGCAGCUUGGAUAUUUGGUUUGAAAAGGUGGAGUCGGUAGCUUUUUUGCUGAGAGAAACAUUUGUCCUCAAAAUUUUCACAUCUUUUGGAGGGAGCUGCAUGAUUAGUUUAUUCCAAGAUUUAGUUCAUAUAGCCUUUUAUAUCUUGUGUAUAUGCAGGGAGUACGAAAAAACAGCCUUUCACAUUUAGGCCUUGUUCGGUUAGCUUCCAAUCCACAUGGAUUGAGUGGGAUUGGGUGGGUUUAAAUCCCAACUAAGUCAAACUCUUUCUUAAUUUUUUCCAAUCUCAUCCAAUUCAUGGGUAACGGGAUUAACCGAACAAGGCCUUAAGUGAUAAAUAUAUGUACCUGAAGUCUGAACAUUUUUGUUGACUACGAACUGAACAGCUCUAAAUGGUUCUUGAUUUCUCAAUACUUUUUGUCCCAGACAAUAUCUAUGUUGACUGCUUUUUCUGAAAAUGAAACGGGGUACCAGUGGAGUUUGGAAACAUUUGUAUGGUUCAUGUCAUCUCUGAGAUUUCGAUAUGCAUCCGUGAAAGUAAUAUGUUGCACAUCUCAUGCGUAUUCUGUCGCCUUACCGAAGUCACUGCAUGCUUCAGGCGCUUUGUGCUUUUUCCCUCUGUUUGAUUUCUAUUCAACUCUUCGAAAUUUAAGACCAAGUUUGUGUUUUAGUGACUAUUUUGCAGGAUCAUCUAUUCACCCCCUUCAUAUGCUCUUAAAUAGCGCUUUCCAUGUUAAAUAGUGUGCCAUGUCUUUUGGCUCCAGCAGAAGCUGGGCUAGCCGCUACCCAGGAUUGCAUUUGCUUCGGCAAAGGGUUGCCAGCUCGUCAAAACCUAAGCGUUCUGUCCACUCGCCUGGUUCUCGUCAGUCGCCAGUUCAGCCGCCAGGUCCGCUUCGUAGGACGUACGCCGAGGUUCUCAAGUCGACUGCUCUCUCUGGGGAAAUGGCUAAGGAAGGCGCCGAGGGGGAUGGCUGGAGAGUGAUGGAUCGCCGUCGUCAACAGGUACGAGGUCGUUCCUCGGGUGCUGGCAUCUGGUCGCUUCGCGGUCGUGCAAACUGGGAAGCCCGUGGCCGUGGUACCUGGUGUGGCCGUGGCGGUCGGUUCGUCGCGUCUGGUUCGUCGCUGGGCCUUGAUGCCAGGGUGGCUGUUGAGCGCAGUAGUGGUGUUCAGUCCGAGGCAGCAAAAAAAAGGGUGGCCGACGUUGCAUCUGGGGUAUCGGACAUGGGGAAGAAACGCCGUGAAGAGCUUUGUUGCGAAAUUUGUGAAGACAAUCAUGUGCCUGAGGAGUGUCCGGUAUUUAAUGGACCAAAGCCGCAGGCAGCUCUCUGUGGUUUUGCGGGAGGUGAAUCUGGUUUUUUUCAAAUUCCUACUUGGGGAGCAAAGGGGGUAUUACCAAGGUCGGAUGGUGUCACGGCCUUCAUAACAGUGAAGGAAGGGAAUGUUACUGCCGAACUCGUUAAGUCUGAACUCUCUAGACUUAUUCCAGUGAAGUGGAAUUGGUCGGUCCAGAAGCAUGCAGAUGGUUUUAUAGUGCCAUUUCCGUGCAGAGUGGAGCUUCAACGUAUGAUUGCUAUGAAAUAUGUUCAUACGUUGGGAGGAGAAGGUAUCUUAGUAAUUCAAGAGGUUAACCAAAAAAUAGAACCGAUAUCUUAUCUGCAGAAGGCCUGGGUGAAUGUGUACGGGGUUCCUUUUGAGAUCCGCUCAUUUCUUCCUCUGUGGGCAGUUGGUUCUAUUUUGGGGGCAACUCAGAAAGUGGACAUGCGCUACACUCGGAAAAUGGGGGUGGUUCGUAUUUUGGUUGCAGUGACGGAUGUGAAUCAUAUCCCGGAAUCCGCAGAAAUAGUGGUUGGUGAAGGAUUAUACGAGAUAUUCUUCAAAGUUGACAAGGUCCUUAAAGAUGGUAGAUGGAUUGACAAUAAUAAUACGGGUACUCGAGACAGAGAUGAUAAGGAACAAGGUGAAAAUGAUGAUUUUACUGAGAAUCAUGAGAAUGAUAUUUUUCAGCCGGAGGAAGCAGUAGAAGACACUGUCAUGGAGGAUAAUUCCUUACAUAGUGACCCUAUGAAACCACAUGAUGAAACUUCAGAUAUGGGGAUAGGGGUUCAGCACAGGAAACCGUUCAUUAAUGACUCAGUGACAUUGGAGUCAGAAGUUUUGACUUCGGUUGAGCCAACAGUUUUGAAUUUAAUGACCUCUACUUGCGCUGAUCAGCAUUUACAGCCAGCUCCUGAGGAAUAUGGACUGGAUUCGGUGAUUUGUAUUGCCGAUCAUGCUUCAGAUGGCCUGGAAUUGUCAACAGGAAGGGUUGGUGUUGAUGGAAAUCUCAGCAGCUUGAUUGAUUUGGCUCCAGACUGCUCGGUUCUUGCUAGUGGAUCAAUCAGUGAAGAGGGGCUGUCUGUGUCCAAAGUAAGUAUUCCAUCUCUGGAAGCAACAGGGCCAUUUGCUGGGAGAGAGAUCAACUUGGCUUUUGAUGAUAUUAAUAUUCCUUCUGCGGCUGACAGCUUGCUCAUCGAAAAACAUAGUAAGUCUGCUGCUGAUUUACUUAAUUACCCAAAGGUUUUAGCGGCAUCUCCUUCAGUACUCAACAUACCAUGUCAUGUGUCUGAUUUUACUGAAAAUACAUCAUUUGAAACAGAGACACGUGAGAGCACCAUUCACCUGGGACAUGUUAAUUAUUUUACUGAUGUACCCCGUUCUGUCCUCCAGGUAUUAUGUAAAGAAUUUAAUAUUAAAGCCAAUACAAAAAAUACUGAAAUGAGACAAGCACUAUCCUUUAGGGCUCAAUCUGAUAAUCAAAUUCUGAUGGCAUUGCAGGAGGCACUUAAGUCUAAUUCUCUUACUAAGAGAGUAAAGACUGAAAAACUUAAUCAAGGGGGUGUCAUGUUAAGUGCCAGGAGGACUAACACAGAUGAAGAUAUAUUGUCCAAAGCUCAGCGUCUGGCAGCAAAGCGUAAUUUAGAAAUCAGUGAGUCUUCCUUCAUUUCUUUUGAUCCGAAAAUAAUUACUUCAAAAUGUGAAAAGAUUGGGAUUUCUCUUGGCAAUACUGAAAAUGAGGUGCUGCAUUCUGUGGUUUCUAUUAAAAAUAUUGAGAUUGAUAGGCUCACGGUUGCUGCAAAAUUACCACCGCUUAAUAGGGUAAAUUCUUUUAAUAAUGACGAGGAAACCGAGGUAGAUGCUGAGUUAUCCCAAAUUUCUGAAAACUGGGAUGAUGAAGCUGGGUUGGGUGCUUUAGAUCGAUGUUGUGAGCUUACUGUCGCGCCACGUAGAAAGAAAGCAAAUAGAGCUUUUUUAAAUGGAAAGGUUAAUCGUCCUUCCAAAAAGCCUAUUACACCCUCUAAAAUUAGUUUAAAAUGAAGGGUAUUUUUUGGAAUUGUAGAGGUAUGGGGGAUUUGGCUAAACAUAAUUACUUAUCCCAACUUUCUAGAGAACACAGACUUGACUUUAUUGCUCUCAUGGAGACGGGGCGUAGCUCGUUCUCAGAAUCUGCUCUGCGACAUUUUAGCGGGGGUGUCGAUUUUCUCUGGCACCAUAUGCCACCUAGAGGGAGAUCAGGAGGGAUGGUGUUAGGUGUGCAUCCGGGUGUCUAUGACAUCGGAGCUAUUGACGAAGGGGAUUUCUAUUGUAAGUUUCGACUUCGAAAUAAGGAAGAUGGAUUCAUAUGGGCCCUCUUUGCUGUGUAUGGUCCAGCUCAAGAAGAUUUAAAGAAUGAUUUCUUAGCUGAAGUUGCUGGUGUGUGCGGUGCUGAAACACAUCCUUUUAUUAUAGGGGGGGGGAUUUUAAUAUCAUGCGAAGAGCAGAAGAAAAAAGUAAUGAUAAUUUCAGCUACCGGUGGCCUAAUUUAUUUAAUGCUAUCAUAGCAAACUUAGAAUUGCGGGAAAUAGAAAUGGUGGGACGACAUUUUACUUGGGCAAACGGUUUGGUUCCACCCACGUUUGAAAAGCUAGAUAGGGUUUUAAUGAGUCCGGAGUGGGAACUUAAAUUCCCUAAUGUUACAGUUCGUGCGCUUGACAGAUCUCGGUCUGAUCACACGCCAUUAUUAUUGAAUGGCAAAGUCUCCACGAGCCUGGGAAAUUACUAUGAGUUUAAAUUUGAAUUAGGAUGGCUUAUUAGAGAGGGAUUUCAUGACAUGGUUACUUCGAUUUGGCAAAAAGAAAAUAAAGGAGAAACCGCUAUACAGAUAUGGCAGAACAAGAUUAGGGCCCUUCGGCAAUAUCUAAGGGGGUGGGCAAAGAAUUCUGUAGGGUCAAUAAAAAAAGAGAAGCAACAACUUUCAGAGCUGAUUAAUGAUCUCGAUAAAAAAGCGGAAUUUACUUGCUUAUCGCCUAAUGAGUUGAAUACUAAAGCUUUUGCUAAUGAUAGACUUGCCAGUAUUUUGAGAGAGGAAGAAAUUCGUCACUUCCAGCGGGCUAAAGUCAAACACCUCCUUGAAGGGGACGAUAACACAAAAUAUUUCCAUUUAGUGGCUAACGGCAAGCACCGGAGACAAAGGAUUUAUUCUUUGGAGAAUGAUGACGGCACAUGUAUUGUUGAUGAGGAAGAGCUUAAAAAUCACAUAACAAAUUACUACAAAAGUCUCUUUGGGAAGCCAAAUGCAUCACCAAUCGAACUUGAUGAAUCUAUUAUCCAUGACAUACCUCAAGUUUCGGAUUCAGAGAAUGAAAUUUUAACUGCUAAUUUUACUAUGGAUGAAGUUAAAAUGGCAGUAUUCAAUAUGGAACAUAAUAAGGCUCCUGGCCCUGAUGGCUUUCCAGCUGAAUUUUAUCAAGUUUUCUGGGAAGUUAUUAAGUAUGAUUUGUUUGCGUUGUUUGAGGACUUUCAUAAAAAUUCUUUACCGGUUCACAGCUUAAAUUUUGGAGUUAUUACUCUAAUUCCAAAGAAAGACAACGCAACUAAAAUCCAGGACUACAGACCUAUUUGCUUACUUAAUGUUUCAUUCAAAAUCAUUACUAAAGUUCUUACAAAUCGAAUAGGUCUAGUAGCAGACAGAAUUGUCAGCCCCUCUCAGACAGCUUUUAUGCCCGGUCGAAAUAUUCUUGAAGGGGUUAUUAUUCUUCACGAAUCUAUUCAUGAACUACAGAGGAAAAAGUUAGAUGGAGUUAUUCUUAAAUUAGACUUCGAGAAAGCUUACGAUAAAGUGAAAUGGAAGUUUCUACAGCAAGCGAUGCGUAUGAAGGGUUUCUCUCCAUCUUGGUGCGCCUGGAUCCAAACAAUAGUUUCUGGAGGUCAUGUUAGAGUUAAAGUAAAUGAUGGCGUAUGUCCUUUUUUUGGUACUUACAAGGGCCUUCGUCAGGGGGAUCCUUUGUCGCCAAUAUUAUUUAAUAUUGUUGCUGAUAUGUUGGCAAUUCUAUUCACAAGAGCGACAGAGGAUAAUCAAUUCAAAGGUAUUGUUCCGCAUUUGAUUCCGGGGGGUUUAUCUAUCCUUCAGUAUGCCGAUGAUACGAUGGUUUUCUUAGAUCAUAAUCUGGAGCAUGCUCGGAACAUCAAACUUCUUUUAACUCUUUUUGAGCAAAUGUCUGGUUUAAAAAUAAAUUUCCAUAAAAGUGAGUUAUUCUGUUAUGGGUCGGCUAAGGAAUAUGAUUUGCAUUACUCACUUAUAUUUGGAUGUGGAAUUGGAUCAAUACCUUUCAAAUACCUUGGAAUUCCUAUGACUCAUAGAAGAUUGAGAAAUAGUGACUGGCAGGGUGUUAUAGACCGAUUUGAAAAGAGGCUUAGUACAUGGAAGGCCAAAUUCCUAUCUUCAGGGGGACGAUUGGUCUUACUUAAUUCAGUGUUAAGUAGUCUGCCUAUCUUUAUGAUGUCUUUCUUUGAGAUUCCGGUAGGCGUCCUGAAGAAACUUAAUGCUAUUCGAUCCAGAUUCUUUUGGCAGGGAGGAAGCAGUAAAAAGAGAUAUAGGCUGGCCAAGUGGCAUAUUGUUUGUCAACCCAAAGCGUUAGGAGGCUUAGGUGUCUCUAAUCUGGCUUUAAAAAAUAUUAGCUUACUCAGCAAAUGGCUAUUUAAAUUACUCAAUGAGGAGGGGAGGUGGCAACAGCUACUUAAAAACAAAUACUUAGGACAUAAAUCUCUUACUCAAAUAUCUAGAAGACCGGACGAUUCACACUUUUGGUCAGGUCUAAUGAAUAUUAAGGAUCAAUUUCUUAGAUGGGGUCACUUUCAAGUGAGGAAUGGUCAUGCUACCAGAUUCUGGAAGGAUAUUUGGUUAACCAGUCGACCUCUUAGUGAGCAAUUCCCGAACCUUUUUAAUAUAGUGCGUAACAAAUCGGCCUUGGUUGUAGACGUCUUUUCAGAUUCAAAUCUUAAUUUAUCUUUUCGCCGAACAAUUAGGGGAAUUAAAAUGGUGGAAUGGCACAACUUGUUAAACUUGCUAACUACGGUUACUCUGAAUCCGGCUAGGGACAAUUUUGUUUGGGAUGGUCAUAAGAAUGGAAUUUUCUCUGUCCAAUCGAUGUACCAUCUUUUGAUGAAUAAUUCUAACAGCAAUCGGAGUAAGAUGCUUUGGAGACUUAAGCUCCCUCUGAAAAUAAAAGUUUUCCUGUGGAAUUUAUGUCGGGGAGCGAUCCUCACUAAAGAUAAUUUAGCUAGAAGGCGUUGGAAUGGUAGCUUGACCUGUAGCUUUUGCAACAACAAUGAGAGUAUACAUCAUCUCUUUUUUGAUUGUUACAUUGCCAAAAGUAUAUGGAGAAUCAUUUACUUUGCUUUAAAAAUAGACAUGCCCAUUAGCAUUAAUCAUAUUAUCGGGUCUUGGGAAUCUAAUAAUGCUCUGGCAUACAAAACAUUAUUACUGACUGGAAUAUCCGCUUUAUUUUGGUCCAUCUGGCUCUGUCGGAAUGAGGUGGUGUUUAAUCAUAAACCAAUACCAUCAAUUGUGCAGGUUAUUUUCAGGGUUACUCACUGGUUCAGAUUCUGGAGACUUCUACAGAAGGAGGAAAAGCACCAACAAAUUCUCGAUGUCUGUCGAGCUUUGGAGGUGGUGGCGAUGGAAGUUUUUGCAAUGCAUGGAUGGCGCUCGAAUGCAAGAAUUGAAGAUGGCUAGUGUUUUCUAUAGUCAUGGCAUUUUGUUUUCUUUGAGUUAGUUUAAUUAUUCAAGCAAUUGCUCUAUGGUCCAAUAAUCGUUAUGUAAUGGCUGUACGCAUUUGUAUGCUAAAGCCGGAACUCUUGUUUCCAUAAUCAAAAAAAAAAAAUGUCUUUUGGCUCCAACUCCUCAACUGACCACGGCGUGGGUGGCUGGCCACGUGGCAUGUUCGUAGCCCUCCUGUUGACUAGGAUCUUCGCAAGGCCUUUUGGGACAUGUGGUGCAUUCGGGUCCUGUAAGGCUAAGGCAUCCUAAAUCCUGGAUACAUUAGGCUCUUGGGCUCCACUCGGUGGUUGAUGGAGCCGUUAUCUGAAGAAACCCGCCCUCAGGCUCCGGAGACCAUCGAGGAGGGUUCAUGGCCCCGAGUUGGACUUCAGGAAUAGAUCGGACUGUCAAGCAAAGAAGACUCCUCGUGGGUCUAGAGCCCUCUAGUGCGGUCUAGGGCCCCUAGCAGGUCCCUAGAAACAUGUGGCGAGCACGUUUGGUCGAAGCCGACCCAACAUCAUAAACCUUUCCAUAGACUGUAUUAUAAACUCCAGAGCACAGCUCGGACGCUUAGGGGAUGGAGCUCCAGGCUUGUUCCUGAUUCUAAGCUGUCCAUGCAUAUGGCCAUGGAAGUUCUCCUUAGGCUAGACCUAGCACAAGAAAAUAGGCGGUUGUCGGACUUCGAGUCAAGUCUCCGAAGCAGACUGAAGAUGCGUAUCCUUGGCUAUGCUGUUAUUGAAAGGGCACGGAAAAGGCUUAAUUCCCGUAUGUUAAGCCUUAGAUUCGGUGAUGCCAACACCAAAUUCUUUCACCGAAAAGCUAGCUCCAGGAGGCGAAAAAAUUUCAUUCAACGACUAAAGGUCGGCAAUGGAUGGGCCCUCUCUCAUGAAGACAAGGCCCACGAAAUCCAAAACUUCUUCCAAAAUGCGAUGAAACAACCACCGCCUAGGAAUGUUGACCUUAACUGGGAGAUUAUUUCUAAUAGGCAACAUAAUCUCUCCAGCUUAGACACGCCUUUUUCAGAGGUUGAAAUUAAAGCAAGCAUCGAUCUUAUGCCUGCCGAUAAGGCACCGGGACCCGACGGCUUCACCGGCUCUUUCCUCAAAUCUUGUUGGGCCACUAUAAAAUACGAUUUCAUGGCAGCGGUGAAUGCUUUCUACAACCUUCGCUGUUGCAACCUUCAUCUAAUAAAUUCGGCCAGCAUCAUCCUAAUUCCUAAAAAAGAUGGAGCAGAAACAGUCGGGGACUUCAGGCCGAUAAGCCUAAUUCAUUCAUUUAUUAAGAUUAUUACCAAAACACUUGCUCUUCGGUUGGCUCCGAGAAUGAAUGAGAUUAUCUCGCCUUUUCAAAGCGCCUUUAUUAAAUCACGGAGCAUCCAUGAGAACUUCCUUGCUGUGAGAAGUAGGGCUGGGCAAAAAACCCGUAACCCGAAACCCGAACCCGGAAUACCCGAACCCGAACCCGAAAUACCCGAAACCCAAAUUUUGUUCGGGAAUUUCGGGUAGCAACUUUCAAAACCCGAAUUUAUUUCGGGUAAUUCGGGUAUCACAAUCGGGUACCCGAAAUACCCGAACUUUCAUGUGUCAUGUACUCAUGUCAUGCUUAAUUAUUAAUUUGUACAUCUAUAAUUAUGUGUAAGUGUGCAUAACUUGUGAAUGUAGAUUACUUGUGUUUUAUAUGUCCAUAUAUACCAUUAUUCAAACAAUAUUUUUAUACUAAUUUAAUAGGGUGUAUGUGUUUUUAUGAAGCCGACACAAUAGUUCGGGUAGUUCGGGAAUACCCGAACCCGAAAUUUCGGGUACCCGAAUUUUUGGGUAUUGCAAAACCCGUUGUAAUUUCGGGUAUCGAUUCUCAAAACCCGAAAUUCUAAAAACCCGAAUUACCCGACCCGAAAUUUUCGGGUAACCCGAACGCUCACCCCUAGUGAGAAGCACGAUUAGGCGUUUCCAGCGUAACAACUCACCAACUCUAUUCAUCAAGCUGGACAUUGCAAAGGCAUUUGACUCUGUGCGAUGGGACUACUUGAUAUCCUUACUGGACAGCUUAGGUUUUCCUGUGAGGUGGAUUGACUGGAUUGCUACAAUCCUUUAUACUUCAUCCUCAAGAGUAACCGUUAAUGGGGUGCCUAAUCCUCCUAUUCGCCAUGGCAGAGGCCUUAGGCAGGGCGACCCUCUCUCCCCCCUUCUUUUUGUAUUGGCGAUCGACCCGUUGCAAAAAAAUCCUGAAGAUUGCUGCUGAGUCUGGAGCUUUGAGCAAGCUGGGGAACCGCUCGCCUACCCUCAGGAUUUCGUUGUAUGCCGAUGACGCGGCUCUGUUUGUUAAGCCAAAAAAAGAGGAAAUUGAGACAAUUGUCAGUUUGCUGACCUUAUUUGGAGAGGCUUCUGGUCUGAUGACCAAUUUUCGAAAGUCCACAAUUGUGCCCAUUUGUUGCCAGGGACUACCGCUUGACGACAUUCUUGACGGCCUCCCUGCUGGAAGAGCAACCUUCCCGAUCCGAUACUUGGGUCUGCCUCUCACUUCGGCUAGGCUAUGGAAACGGGACCUUCAGUUUUUGGUAGACAAGGUCUUGGGCAAGCUGAGUAGUUGGAAUAUGAGGAAUUUCUCGUUGGCGGGCCGUUUGACUCUUUGAUAGUCGCCUAGAGGGGGGGGUGAAUAGGGCGAAACUGAAAUUUACAAAUAUAAACACAACUACAAGCCGGGGUUAGCGUUAGUAAUAAUAAAUGAGUCCACAAGAGAGGGCGCAAAACAAAUCGCAAGCAAAUAAGGAGAGUGACACGCGGAUUUGUUUUACCGAGGUUCGGUUCUUGCAAACCUACUCCCCGUUGAGGAGGCCACAAAGGCCGGGUCUCUUUCAACCCUUCCCUCUCUCAAACUGUCCCUCGGACCGAGUGAGCUUUCCUUCUUCUCAAUCAACCGGGAACAAAACUUCCCCGCAAGGGCCACCACACAAUCGGUGCCUCUUGCCUCGGUUACAAUUGAGUGUUGAUCACAAGAGCAAAAGAGAAAGAAAGAAUGCGAUCCAAGCGCAAGAGCUCAAAAGAACACGGCAAAUCUCUCUCGCUAGUCACUAAAGGCUUGAGUGGAAUUGGAGAGGAUUUGAUCUCUUUGUAUGUGUCUAGAAUUGAAUGCCUAGCUCUUGUAAGUGGUUAGAAGUUGGAAAACUUGGAUGCUAUGAAUGGUGGGGUGGUUGGGGUAUUUAUAGCCCCAACCACCAAAAGUGACCGUUGCUGGCAGCCUCUGUUCGAUGGCGCACCGGACAGUCCGGUGCACACCGGACAGUCCGGUGCCUCUGCCACGUCAUCACUGCCGUUGGAUUCUGGCCGUUGGAGCUUCUGACUUGUGGGCCCGCCUGGGUGUCCGGUGCACACCGGACAUGUACUGUUUGAUGUCCGGUGCACCGGUAUGGGCGAUUCUGACUUCUGCGCGCGCUGCGCGCGCAUUUAAUGCACCGCAGGGAGCCGUUGGCGCCGCAGGGAGCCGUUGCUCCGCUGGCACACCGGACAGUCCGGUGCACACCGGACAGUCCGGUGAAUUAUAGCGCGCCGGCUUCCGAGAAUUCCCGAGAGUGAAGAGUUGGAGUCUGAGUCCCCUGGUGCACCGGACAGGUACUGUUCACUGUCCGGUGGCACACCGGACAGUCCGGUGCGCCAGACCAGGGGUGCCCUCGGUUGCCCCUUUGCUCCUUUAUUGAAUCCAAAACUUGGUCUUUUUAUUGGCUGAGUGUGAACCUUUUACACCUGUAUAAUCUAUACACUUGGGCAAACUAGUUAGUCCAAAGAUUUGUGUUGGGCAAUUCAACCACCAAAAUUAUAUAGGAACUAGGUGUAAGCCUAAUUCCCUUUCAAUCUCCCCCUUUUUGGUGAUUGAUGCCAACACAAACCAAAGCAAAUAUAGAAGUGCAUAAUUGAACUAGUUUGCAUAAUGUAAGUGUAAAGGUUGCUUGGAAUUGAGCCAAUAAAACUACUUACAAGAUAUGCAUGGAAUGUUUCUUUCUUAUUUAACAUUUUGGACCACGUUUGCACCACAUGUUUUGUUUUUGCAAAUUCUUUUUGUAAAUCCAUUUCAUAGAUCUUUUGCAAAUAGUCAAAGGUAAAUAAAUAAGAGUUUGCAAAAGCAUUUUCAAGAUUUGAAAUUUCCUCCCCCUGUUUCAAAUGCUUUUCCUUUGACUAAACAAAACUCCCCCUAAAAGAGAUCCACCUCUUAGUGUUCAAGAGGGUUUUGAUAUACCAUUUUUGAAAUACUACUUUCUCCCCCUUUUGAACACAAUAGGAUACCAAAUGAUAAAGACUUUUGGAAAGCACUAAGUUUUUGAAUUUGGUGGUGGUGGUGCGGUCCUUUUGCUUUGGGCUCAUUUCUCCCCCUUUUUGGCAUGAAUCGCCAAAAACGGAAUCAUUAGAGCCCUUGAAGUAAGUUCCUCCCCUUUGGUCAUAAGUAAAUGAGUUAAGAUUAUACCAAAGACGAGGUCCGGUCCUUUUGCUUUUGAGCUUUUACUCUCUCCCCCAAGAAUAGAGUCCGUUUUUUUUUUGAUGCUCAUUUCUCCCAAGGAAUAGAGAGUUGCUCGGAGUGAUGGCGAAGCAUGAGUUACGGAGUGGAAGCCUUUGUCUUCGCCGAAGACUCUAAUUCCCUUUCAAUAUACCUAUGACUUGGUUUGAAAUAGACUUGAAAACACAUUAGUCAUAGCAUAUAGAAGAGAUAUGAUCAAAGGUAUUCAAAUGAGCUAUGUGUGCAAGCUUAGCAAAAGAAAUUUCUAGAAUCAAGAAUAUUGAGCUCAUGCCUAAGUCUGGUAAAAGAUUCUUCAUCAAGUGGCUUGGUAAAGAUAUCGGCUAAUUGAUCUUUAGUAUUAAUGUAAGAAAUCUCGAUAUCCCCCUUUUGUUGGUGAUCCCUAAGAAAAUGAUACCGAAUGGCUAUGUGCUUAGUGCGGCUAUGCUCGACGGGAUUGUCGGCCAUUUUAAUUGCACUCUCAUUAUCACAUAGCAAAGGGACUUUGGUUAAUUUGUAACCGUAGUCCCGCAGAGUUUGCCUCAUCCAAAGCAAUUGCGCGCAACAAUGUCCUGCGGCAAUGUACUCGGCUUCGGCGGUGGAAAGAGCGACCGAAUUUUGCUUCUUUGAAGCCCAAGACACCAAGGAUCUUCCCAAGAACUGGCAAGUCCCCGAUGUGCUCUUCCUAUUGAUUUUGCACCCCGCCCAAUCGGCAUCCGAAUAACCAAUUAAAUCAAAUGUGGAUCCCCGAGGGUACCAAAGCCCAAACUUAGGGGUAUAAGCCAAAUAUCUCAAGAUUCGUUUUACGGCCGUAAGGUGGGAUUCCUUAGGGUCGGAUUGGAAUCUUGCACACAUGCAAACGGAAAGCAUAAUGUCCGGUCGAGAUGCACAUAAAUAAAGCAAUGAACCAAUCAUCGACCGGUAUACCUUUUGAUCCACGGACUUACCUCCCGUGUCGAGGUCGAGAUGCCCAUUAGUUCCCAUGGGUGUCUUGAUGGGUUUGGCAUCCUUCAUCCCAAACUUAGCAAGAAUGUCUUGAGUGUACUUCGUUUGGCUAAUGAAGGUGCCCUCUUGGAGUUGCUUGACUUGGAAUCCUAGAAAAUACUUCAACUCCCCCAACAUCGACAUCUCGAAUUUCUGUGUCAUGAUCCUACUAAACUCUUCACAUGUAGACUCGUUAGUAGACCCAAAUAUAAUAUCAUCAACAUAAAUUUGGCAUACAAACAAGUCAUUUUCAAGAGUUUUAGUAAAGAGUGUAGGAUCGGCCUUGCCAACUUUGAAGCCAUUAGCAAUAAGGAAAUCUCUUAGGCAUUCAUACCAUGCUCUUGGGGCUUGCUUGAGCCCAUAAAGCGCCUUAGAGAGCCUAUAGACAUGGUUAGGGUACUCACUGUCUUCAAAGCCGGGAGGUUGCUCAACAUAGACCUCUUCCUUGAUUGGUCCGUUGAGGAAGGCACUUUUCACGUCCAUUUGAUAGAGCUUAAAGCCAUGGUAAGUAGCAUAGGCCAAUAAUAUGCGAAUUGACUCAAGCCUAGCUACGGGUGCAUAGGUUUCACCAAAAUCCAAACCUUCGACUUGUGAAUACCCUUUGGCCACGAGUCGAGCUUUGUUCCUUGUCACCACACCAUGCUCAUCUUGCUUGUUGCGGAAGACCCAUUUGGUUCCUACAACAUUUUGGUUAGGACGUGGAACUAAAUGCCAUACCUCAUUCCUCGUGAAAUUGUUGAGCUCCUCUUGCAUCGCCACCACCCAAUCCGAAUCUUGGAGAGCUUCCUCUACCCUGUGUGGCUCAAUAGAGGAAACAAAAGAGUAAUGUUCACAAAAAUGAGCAACCCGAGAUCGAGUAGUUACCCCCUUAUGAAUGUCGCCGAGGAUGGUGUCGACGGGGUGAUCUCGUUGGAUUGCUUGGUGGACUCUUGGGUGUGGCGGUCUUGGUUCUUCCUCAUCCUCCUUUUCUUGAUCAUUUGUAUCUCCCCCUUGAUCAUUGCUAUCAUCUUGAGGUGGCUCGUCUUCUUGAUUUUGCUCUUCAUCAUUUUGAGCCUCAUCCUCAUUUUGAGUUGGUGGAGAUGCUUGCAUGGAGGAGGAUGGUUGAUCUUGUGUACUUGGAGGCUCUUCGGAUUCCUUAGGACACACAUCCCCGAUGGACAUGUUCCUUAGCGCGAUGCAUGGAGCCUGUUCUUCACCUAUCUCAUCAAGAUCAACUUGCUCUACUUGAGAGCCGUUAGUUUCAUCAAACACAACGUCACAAGAGACUUCAACUAGUCCAGUGGACUUGUUAAAGACCCUAUAUGCCCUUGUGUUUGAGUCAUAACCAAGUAAAAAGCCUUCUACAGUUUUAGGAGCAAAUUUAGAUUUUCUACCUCUUUUAAUAAGAAUGAAGCAUUUGCUACCAAAAACUCUAAAAUAUGAAAUGUUGGGCUUUUUACCGGUUAGGAGUUCAUAUGAUGUCUUCUUGAGGAUUCGGUGAAGAUAUAACCGGUUGAUGGCGUAGCAGGCGGUGUUGACGGCUUCGGCCCAAAACCGGUCCGGUGUCUUGUACUCAUCAAGCAUGGUUCUUGCCAUGUCCAAUAGAGUUCGAUUCUUCCUCUCUACUACACCAUUUUGUUGGGGCGUGUAGGGAGAGGAGAACUCAUGCUUGAUGCCCUCCUCCUCAAGGAAGCCUUCAAUUUGAGAGUUCUUGAACUCCGUCCCGUUGUCGCUUCUUAUUUUCUUGAUCCUUAAGCCGAACUCAUUUUGAGCUCGUCUCAAGAAUCCCUUUAAGGUCUCUUGGGUUUGAGAUUUUUCCUGUAAAAAGAAUACCCAAGUGAAGCGAGAAUAAUCAUCCACAAUUACAAGGCAAUACUUACUACCGCCGAUGCUUAUGUAAGCGAUCGGGCCGAAUAAGUCCAUGUGUAGUAGCUCCAGCGGCCUGUCGGUAGUCAUGACAUUUUUGUGUGGAUGAUGGAUGCCAACUUGCUUCCGAGCUUGGCAUGCGCUACAAAUCCUGUCUUUCUCAAAAUGAAUAUUGGUUAGUCCCAAAAUGUGUUCUCCCUUUAGAAGCUUGUGAAGAUUCUUCAUUCCAACAUGGGCUAGUCGGCGGUGCCAAAGCCAACCCAAGUUAGUCUUAGCAACUAAGCAAGUGUCGAGUUCAGCUCUUUCAAAAUCUACCAAGUAUAGCUGACCCUCUAACACUCCCUUAAAAGCUAUUGAAUCGUCACUUCUUCUAAAGACAGUAACACCAGUAUCAGUAAAAAGACAGUUGUAGCCCAUUUUACAUAAUUGGGAUACGGAAAGCAAAUUGUAAUCUAAAGAAUCUACAAGAAAAACAUUGGAAAUAGUAUGGUCAGGUGAUAUAGCAAUUUUACCCAAACCUUUGACCAAACCUUGAUUUCCAUCCCCGAAUGUGAUAGCUCGUUGGGGAUCUUGGUUUUUCUCAUAUGAGGAGAACAUCUUUUUCUCCCCUGUCAUAUGGUUUGUGCACCCACUGUCGAGUAUCCAACUUGAGCCCCCGGAUGCAUAAACCUACAAAACAAGUUUAGUUCUUUGUUUUAGGUACCCAAACGGUUUUGGGUCCUUUGGCAUUAGAAAUGAGAACUUUGGGUACCCAAACACAAGUCUUGGAACCCUUGUGCUUGCCCCCAACAAAUUUGGCAACUACCUUGCCGGAUUUGCUAGUAAGCACAUAAGAUGCAUCAAAAGUUUUAAAUGAAAUGGCAUGAUCAUUUGAUGCAUUAGGAGUUUUCUUUCUAGGCAACUUGGUACGGGUUGGUUGCCUAGAGCUAGAUGUCUCACCCUUAUACAUAAAAGCAUGGUUAGGGCCAGAGUGAGACUUCCUAGAGUGAAUUCUCCUAAUUUUGCUCUCGGGAUAACCGACAGGGUACAAAAUGUAACCCUCGUUAUCCUGAGGCAUGGGAGCCUUGCCCUUAACAAAGUUAGACAAAUUUUUAGGUGGGGCAUUAAGUUUGACAUUGUCUUCCCUUUGGAAGCCAAUGCCAUCCUUGAUGCCAGGACGUCUCCCAUUAUAGAGCAUGCUUCUAGCCAAUUUAAAUUUUUCAUUUUCUAAGUCAUGCUCUCUAAUCUUAGCAUUUAGUUGAGCUAUGUGAUCAUUUUGUUUUUUAAUUAAGGCUAGGUGAUCAUGGAUAGCAUCAACAUUAAUAUCUCUACAUCUAGUACAAAUGGAAAUAUGCUCAACAUUAGAUGUAGAGGGUUUGCAAGAUUUUAGUUCAACAACCUUAGCAUGCAACAUAUCAUUUUUAGUUCUAAGGUCGGAAAUAGUAGCAUUGCAAACAUCAAAAUCCUUAGCCUUAGCAAUUAGUUUCUCAUUCUCAUUUCUAAGGCUAGCAAUGGAAACAUUUAACUCAUCAAUCCUAGCAAGUAAAUCAACAUUAUCAUUUCUAGGAUCAAUGCAAACAUGAGAAUCUACCUUAGCAAUUAAUUUAGCAUUUUCACUUCUAAGGUUGGCAAUAGUGUCAUGGCACAUGCUUAGCUCACUAGAUAAUUUGUUACAUUUUUCUACUUCUAGAGCAUAAGCAUUUUUAACCUUAACAUGUUUCUUAUUCUCCUUGAUUAGGAAGUCCUCUUGGGAGUCCAAGAGAUCAUCCUUUUCAUGGAUGGCACUAAUUAGAUCAUUUAAUUUUUCCUUUUGUUCCAUGUUAAGGUUAGCAAAAAGAAUGCGCAAGUUAUCCUCCUCAUUUUUGUCAUCAUCCUCAUCACUAGAUGUUUCAUAUUUAGUGGAGGACCUUGAUUUUACCUUCUUUUUGCCGUCCUUGGCCAUGAGACACUUGUGGCCGACGUUGGGGAAGAGAAGGCCUUUGGUGACGGCGAUGUUGGCGGCGUCCUCGUCGUCGGAGGAGUCGCUUGAGCUUUCGUCGGAGUCCCACUCCCGACAAACAUGGGCAUCGCCGCCCUUCUUCUUGUAAUACUUCUUCUUCUCCUUUCUUCUUCCCUUCUUGUCGUCGCCCCUGUCACUGUCACUAGACAUAGGACAUUUUGCAAUAAAGUGACCGGGCUUACCACACUUGUAGCAAACCUUCUUGGAACGAGGUUUGUAGUCCUUCCCCUUCCGUUGCUUGAGGAUUUGCCUAAAGCUUUUGAUGAUUAGGGCCAUCUCCUCAUUGUCGAGCUUGGAGGCGUCAAUUGGUUGUCUACUUGAUGUAGACUCCUCCUUCUUCUCCUCCGUUGCCUUAAAGGCCACCGGUUGCGCCUCGGAUGUGGAGGGCUCGUCAAGCUCGUUGAUCUUCUUGGAGCCCUUAAUCAUGCAUUCAAAACUAACAAAAUUCCCGAUGACUUCCUCGGGGGUCAUUAGUGGAUAUCUUGGAUUACCACGAAUUAAUUGAACUUGUGUGGGGUUAAGGAAAAUAAGAGCUCUUAGAAUAACCUUAACCACUUCGUGGUCAUCCCACUUUGUACUCCCGAGGUUGCGCACUUGGUUCACCAAGGUCUUGAGCCGGUUGUACAUGUCUUGUGGCUCCUCCCCUUGGCGAAGACGGAAGCGACCGAGCUCCCCCUCGAUCGUUUCCCGCUUGGUGAUCUUGGUGAGUUCAUCACCUUCGUGCGCCGUCUUGAGAAGAUCCCAAAUCUCUUUGGCGUUCUUCAACCCUUGUACUUUGUUGUAUUCCUCCUUGCUUAGGGAGGCAAGGAGGAUGGUUGCGGCUUGGGAGUUGAAGUGCUCGAUUUGGGCCACUUCGUCUGUGUCAUAGUCCUCAUCCCCUAUAGAUGGUACCUGUACACCAUACUCAACAACAUCCCAUAUACUCUUGUGGAGAGAGGUUAGAUGAAAUCGCAUUAAAUUACUCCACAUAGCAUAAUCUUCACCAUUAAAAGUUGGUGGUUUACCUAAUGGGACGGAAAGUAGAGGUGUAUGUUUAGGAACACGAGGAUAGCGUAGGGGAAUCUUACUAUACUUCUUACGCUCUUGGCGUUUAGAAGUGACGGACGCCGCGUCGGAGCCGGAGGUAGAUGUCGAUGAAGUGUCGGUCUCGUAGUAGACCACCUUCCUCAUCCUCUUGUGCUUAUCGCCUUUCCGAUGCGGCUUGUGGGAAGAAGAUUUUUCCUUCUUCUCUUUGUGGUGAGAAGAAGAUUUCUUCUCCUUCCCUUUGUUGGAGGAGCUCUUCUUCUUCUCCCUCCUUUUGGUGCGGGACUCUUCCGAUGAAGUGCUCCCGUAGCUUGUAGUGGGCUUUUCGCCGGUCUCCAUCUCCUUCUUGGCGUGAUCUCCCGACAUCACUUCGAGCGGUUAGGCUCUAAUGAAGCACCGUGCUCUGAUACCAAUUGAUAGUCGCCUAGAGGGGGGGGUGAAUAGGGCGAAACUGAAAUUUACAAAUAUAAACACAACUACAAGCCGGGGUUAGCGUUAGUAAUAAUAAAUGAGUCCGCAAGAGAGGGCGCAAAACAAAUCGCAAGCAAAUAAGGAGAGUGACACGCGGAUUUGUUUUACCGAGGUUCGGUUCUUGCAAACCUACUCCCCGUUGAGGAGGCCACAAAGGCCGGGUCUCUUUCAACCCUUCCCUCUCUCAAACUGUCCCUCGGACCGAGUGAGCUUUCCUUCUUCUCAAUCAACCGGGAACAAAACUUCCCCGCAAGGGCCACCACACAAUCGGUGCCUCUUGCCUCGGUUACAAUUGAGUGUUGAUCACAAGAGCAAAAGAGAAAGAAAGAAUGCGAUCCAAGCGCAAGAGCUCAAAAGAACACGGCAAAUCUCUCUCGCUAGUCACUAAAGGCUUGAGUGGAAUUGGAGAGGAUUUGAUCUCUUUGUAUGUGUCUAGAAUUGAAUGCCUAGCUCUUGUAAGUGGUUAGAAGUUGGAAAACUUGGAUGCUAUGAAUGGUGGGGUGGUUGGGGUAUUUAUAGCCCCAACCACCAAAAGUGACCGUUGCUGGCAGCCUCUGUUCGAUGGCGCACCGGACAGUCCGGUGCACACCGGACAGUCCGGUGCCUCUGCCACGUCACCAUUGCCGUUGGAUUCCGACCGUUGGAGCUUCUGACUUGUGGGCCCGCCUGGGUGUCCGGUGCACACCGGACAUGUACUGUUUGAUGUCCGGUGCACCGGUAUGGGCGAUUCUGACUUCUGCGCGCGCUGCGCGCGCAUUUAAUGCACCGCAGGGAGCCGUUGGCGCCGCAGGGAGCCGUUGCUCCGCUGGCACACCGGACAGUCCGGUGCACACCGGACAGUCCGGUGAAUUAUAGCGCGCCGGCUUCCGAGAAUUCCCGAGAGUGAAGAGUUGGAGUCUGAGUCCCCUGGUGCACCGGACAGGUACUGUUCACUGUCCGGUGGCACACCGGACAGUCCGGUGCGCCAGACCAGAGGUGCCCUCGGUUGCCCCUUUGCUCCUUUAUUGAAUCCAAAACUUGGUCUUUUUAUUGGCUGAGUGUGAACCUUUUACACCUGUAUAAUCUAUACACUUGGGCAAACUAGUUAGUCCAAAGAUUUGUGUUGGGCAAUUCAACCACCAAAAUUAUAUAGGAACUAGGUGUAAGCCUAAUUCCCUUUCACUCUUGUUAAAACGGUGAUCACCUCGCAAGCAAUCUACAUGUUAUCCGCCCUUAACGCGCCCAAGGAAAUUAUAAAUCUCCUUGACUCCAAAAGAAGACAGUUCCUUUGGGCGGGUUCAGACAGGCUAACUGGAGGAAAAUGCAAAGUUAAUUGGAAGCGUGUGGCGAGGCCAAAAGCCCUCGGGGGCUUGGGGGUCUUGCAUUUGGGUGCUUUUGCGCGUGCCUUGCGCUUAAGGUGGUUAUGGCAAAUUUGCACAUCUCCUUAUAAUGCCUGGGGAAAUUUGGAAACGCCUUGCACUAAUGUUGAUUGUCUGCUUUUUGCGGCAUCAACAGAAAUUAAGAUUGGAGAUGGCUCCAAGAUAUCAUUUUGGGACAGCGCUUGGGCAGGGGGAAGGAGGCCGAAAGACUUGGCACCUAGUCUAUUCUCCAUAUCAAGACAUAAGGGCAAAUCACUGGCAGGGGCGGUUAGGGACAAUGCGUGGAUCAUAGAUCUCGCACUGCUAGGCAGUGUAAUUACGACCCACCACCUUCAUGAGUUCUUUAUCCUUUGGUCCGAGGUUCAAAAGAUCCAGCUUGACCCAGGGGCUCAGGAUAUCAUCACCUGGAAAUUCACUGCAGACCAUCGCUGCUCAGUGAAAUCAGCAUAUUUGGCGCAGUUUUUAGGCUCAGUUCGCACUAACUUAGACCUCAUCAUUUGGAAGAAUUGGGCGCCCCCAAAGUGCAAGUUUUUCAGCUGGCUAGCGAUUCAAAAUCGCAUUUGGACUGCCAACCGUUUAGCUACCAGAAAUUGGCCCCAUUCCCCGACUUGUGUUCUUUGUUAAGAUGUUCUGGAAUCAGGUCUGCAUCUAUUUGUGGAAUGCCGAUUCACUAAACGGAUUUGGGAGGAGAUUGCUGUUUGGGUUGCCAUUGAGGAUUUGAAGCCGUCUAACUGGGAGCUAUCUCACACGCUGAUGCAUUGGUGGGAGAACUUGGCUAUGAUAUCGGGGUGUAGCAGAAAGGGGCUCAGAUCAUUGCUGAUCCUUGUUAAUUGGAUAAUAUGGCGGGAAAGGAAUGCGAGGACUUUUGAUUGCAGGUUUUCGACCAGUCAGCAGAUCAUAACUCUGAUUAAAUGCGACGCGGCAGCCUGGAUUGCAGCCGGGGCUAGGCAAUUAGCUACCCUCUUAUCCUCGUCAACUUAGCUAGGUUGCUUGUUGUGUGUCUUUUUUAGUUGCUAAGGGAUGCUUAGAGAGUAUCUGUUGUGCUUGACAUCGCCUGUGUAUUGACUCUUUUGCCUUAGGGCAUUUCUCUUCUUAUCAAUAUAUAAGGCAGAACUCCUGCCUGCUUGUUUCAAAAAAAACCGUCUCUGAGUUUUUUCGGUGCCGGUGCAAAACACAAAAAUAGGCCCUAUAAUAAUAUAAUAUAUACUAAAUAGACAUAACAAUAAUAUAAAUUUUAUUUCACUAUGUUCAUCUCAAUAUUUGGAACAGCAAGUUGAUCAACAGCGAUCAUGAACGCUAAAAAAUAAAAGGUGUAUGAUAGCUUACUGAUAUUUUUAACUUCUAGUAAACUAAAAAUGAUUCGUUGAUCACGUUCACACCUAUUACACAAUAUACAUAAAAUAAACUAAAUAUUAAUUAUCAACCAUAUAAUUUGCAGAUUGCUUCAGAACCAAUGUAUAGCCAUACCUGAAUACCUGAGACAUCGUUCGUCACUCCUAGACUGAUCACCUGAUGUCUGAUGGUGAUGGGCUUCUCUCCGGCGCACUGCUCGCUCCAGACCUCUAGUCUCGGCUUCAAGGUUCAACUCGAUCACGAUGGAGCCAGAACGAGUGCAACGCCACGAUCUGGCCCUAGCGCUCCGCGGACGACGCCACAACGGGAUGAGCGAGACUCGACGACGGUUCGAUGCGGUGUGUUGGUCGUUCUACGGUUCGAGUUCUGACAACGUUUGCACCGUUUAGAUCCUUUAUAUAUAUAUAUAUAUAUAUAUAUAUAUAUAUAUAUAUAUAUAUAUAUAUAUAUAUAUAUAUAUAUAUAUAUAUGAUGAAUUUGGGGACCCAUAAAAAUAGGGGCCAUGUGCUAUCGCUCCACUUGCACCGUGCUAUGGACGGGCCUGGUGGCAGCAUCAAUCUCCACUAGUAGUCAGAGACCCGGCUAGGCCACAUGGCGCAACCAGAUCCUGCCAACGAGUUGGUGAGGGCCAUCGCAAAAGGAGGCAUGAUGAAGGUAUACAUGGCAAGGCCCCCUUGCGAUGACGCGUGGUGGGGGUCUCGACCAUGUAUUAUUCAUGUCUCUUUAAAGGAGUCUUGUCGACCUGACUCACCUUGAAAGCAGGCACCGUAGCUUGCCCUCUCCUCGUAGGCCUAGUUUGGUUGUAGUUCCUAUGGUACUCUUACCAAGGGGCGCUGAUAGUGGCCCCUAAUCCUAGUGCAGUCAUAGAGUUUGUGAGUGGGCCCAAGUACAUCAAACAGUAAACAUGUGGAAGAGAAACUAUUGAGAGUGGAACCGUCACAUUUUCCAACCGUCAGGAAUGGCACCGGUGCACAUCAUCCACCUGGGCCUCCAUGCACCGGCCUCAGAUCAUGCACAAUAGUUUUGGACACGUGUGCGAUGCCCUUGGGGCCUGUACGGUGAGUGGGAAAUACAUGUAGUGUCGGGUUUGGUGCAUGUAAUUACCAAGUGCCUGAGCCCUUGCUAUCUUCAUACAUGCAAUCCCUUAGCCUCCUGACUAUUCACCUUUUGUUUGAGCGCUCCAACCGCCCUUCACCAUCAUCCUUCUUGCCAUCGACGAUGGUUCCAAGGGGUAGGAGGCUAGUGAUGCAUAAGUCAAGGGCGUCUAAUGACUAAGUGCUAGGGAUGUACCACAACUUGCUUGGGUGGAUAUCCUUGGAAAUGUGUGGCAACCAAAUGCCAGCUACAUGGCCGAUGGAGCCAAGGCCAAAGCCGGGGAAGCACAACGUCUUUGGCGUGUACUUGCUAGCGAGGUUGGGGUUCGUAGCCUCGACAUUCCCAUUCAUGGUUCUAGAGUUCUAAAGGAUCAAACUAACACACCUCUCUCCUAACUCCAUCCUCCUCCUAGCCACCUUUGUUCACUUCUACAAAAUGUUUGUCGCAGUGCAUACAAGUUUAUCACUCUAUAAAAGUUGACUAGAGGGGAUGAAUAGGAGAAACCUGAAAUUGAAGUCAAACAACCCAAAAACUUGAUAUGAGAUAUUUGUUCUUUAAGUGUUAGAACAAGAUGCUUAGUCUAGGGUGAGUAUAAGUUCAAUAGUUUAAAGUUAUUGCCAAUAAGGAGGUGUGGAAUGUGAUCCAAGCAACAAUAUGAAGAAUAAGCCAAGUGUUAACUUAGGGAAGAAAGGUAGAAAAUAAAUUACAAAAUAAAAUACUAAAGACAUGGUAAUUUGUUUACCAGAGUUUGGUUUCCAAACAAAACCUAUGUAUUUGUUGAGAAGUCCACUAAUGACUGGGUCUCUCUCAACCCUUUCCUCACUCAGUGAUUACCAAGAUGGAACUUAAGUUCCCAUUUUAUUUUCUCAAGUGAGGUCAACUCUUCACAAGGCUUUCUACAACUUGGAGGCUCUUGCCUGCUUAACAAAUUCAAUGGGAUCUUUGCUCCAAGGAUCCAAGAUCACAACAAAAACCCACAAAUGUUGCACACACAAGUGCUCUUUCACUAAAUACUCAACUAAAGGAUAUCUCUAAGCUCACCACUUGACUUUUUGGAACUUAGAUCAUUUUGAUGCUUGGGAGUGUUUCUAUAGUGUAUGUGACUUGUUGCCUAACUCUUGGAUGCUCAACACAUUGGUUAGGUCGUAUUUUGAAGCAUCUUAAUCCUCUGGGACUCAAAUGUGAUACAAUUACUAGUCCUAGGAGGUUAGUAAAUACAUUUAUAUAUCAGAUGAUUCCAGAUCUGCUUAAACGAGACAAACCUAUAAAAGUGGCGAUCAACUUUAAGAGUUGGUCCACAACCUAGGACAUAUCAUCAGAGUGGGGCUGAAGCAGCCCGAUAUACGCAGCGAAGCAAAUCAGCGGUCCAACAGCCACAGGCAAGGUUGGGAACAGGCGUAACUCUUACCCGAUCAGCGAUCUCCUUCUCUGAAAAAACAACAAAUAAGCAAGGGUGAGUACUUACGUACUCAGCAGCCCACCUUCACCCGCGGAAUGGGGAAAUCAGAAAUAAUGCAUGGAAUAUAUGGAGCUCAGGAUAUUUUGCAGAAAGAGCAAUAUUUGAUGCAGGGUUAUUUUGUAAAAAAAUUUAUAUUUUUCAAAGCGCAUCCUCUCCCAAAGGAGCAGGAAGUUUUUCAAUAUAGAACAAAAUCCCCUGGACUAAACCAUCUAGGUAUCUCAGCAGUUUCCCACUGGUUUUUGCUUUCAAAAACUGCUACUGGACUUCCCGUCCACCAUAGCUCACGGUUCAACCGUUGGACCUUUUAAGACCACUUUUCAAAAGCAUUUUUGGAAAACAAAACACUAAUUGUCAAAUCCAUGCCAUGACUCAUCCAUAUCCGUGGACACGGACUAUUCGAAUAGGUUUUUAAACUCUGUGUAGAGGUGUACACUUUACCCACUAGUCCUAUUUAUGCAAUCUCACCGUCGUGAGAUCUGAAUACCGAAACUCUUUCCUUCCUUGCACGUCCUUACCUUAGCGAUUAUACCGGAAAGAACAAGGCCACCACCAUGCCCAAACCGGACAAAAAAUCCCCUUCCUUAUCCUCCUGGUGCUCCCCAACCGUCAUAAUCCCGGGGUUCGGACCGUACAAGUUCAGAUCAAGCGAUUGCCCAUAUAGUAUCGAGUGGUUGUACUUGACAAUAGUAUAGGUAAGGAGUGAUGACAAACCGGUCCUUAGGCGAGAGGGACAAUCCUUCAUGCUCACACCUAAACCAGUUGAGCCAUCACCUUAGGCCCUCCCCUAAACCAAGGAGUCCCUGAUCAUCCCGCUCAAGGGUGAUAGGGGUGACAACCCUUCAUCAUAUCCAUUUUGAAAAACAUUUUCUUUUGAAAACUCACACCUUUUCUCAAAUCAUUUGUAACAAAUAUGUCAAGGAGUAUAAAGAUUAAUUGUGGCAAAGUUCUAAGGAUGGGUGGCCAUAAUAACUUGUCUCAAAAUCAUAUCAUGCAUAAAAUAACAGGCUGAGGGUUGUGGUUGAAAAAGCAUAGGUAAUUUAUGAAUCAAAGGGAUCCAGUGAGCUUGUCGUGCUUAACCGGCGAAAGGGUGAGAGCUUGCGAAACUGGCUUCUGGCUCCACUGUCUGGCGUAGGCUUGCAGAUCUAGCCUUCACGAGACGACACGAACGCUCCGAUAACUAUGCAUCAUGAACAAGCAAACAUACAAACCAGCAAGUAUAUCAAAAAAUAUUUAGUAUAGUGGUCAGAAUGGCGAUAUAUAUGGAUGGGUAGAGUCUUGAGCAGAAUCUGUGUCAUGUAGUGUUGUGAUAUUACUGGUGGUGGAGUGGAGGUGCUUACCAGGAGGGUGGGUUGGAGGCGAAGCGACACUAUGUGUGUAGCCGGCAGAGCGGGGUAACUGAUUGGGUGGGGUGUUUGCCUUGGCUGAGGCUGUUGAGUGUGUGCAGAGGGAGAGGGUAGCUGGGUGUAUGUGGUGUAGUACAUUAGAGUUCACUGUUGGCGAGAAUAGUGACGAGUGAAUCAUCUGACUUAGUCUGAACAGGGAAAUUAUAGGCAGAAUAUGGGACACGAGUAUUUUGGGAGUUUUCUGAAAUAUGAACCAUGCUUAAGGGAUGACAUGGUUGGAUAGGGAAUAAUUUGAUAAUAAUUUAGAAACAAGAAUUAUUGGAAUCUGAGUUUAGAAGCCUGGAUCGAAAGAAUCUCAAACUUAAGCGUGCUCAACUUGGAGAAAUCUGGGAUGGGUGUCCAGAUGGGAAGUUCUUACUGGAAGUAAAAACACAGUCACCAGAGUUCGUAUGGCUGGAAUAUUGGUUUGGCAGGUCUUAGGUGAGCUGGACAGCAUGAUGGAUGAGUAGUUGAAAUUUGGGGUGAUCAGAUGAUCGAUGAAUAGAAAUGGUGAAUAGUAAUGGUGAAUAAUAACAGUGAAUAGUAAUGGUGAAUAGUAAUGGUAAAUAGUUCGUAUGAACGAACGAUGAACGAUGAAUAGUGAUGAUGAACGAUGAAUAGGGACUAUGAACGAACGAUGAACGAUGAAUAGGGACUAUGAACGAACGAUGAAUGAUGAAUAGGGACUAUUAACGAACGAUGAACGAUGAAUAGUUCGUAUGAACGAACGAUGAAUGAUGAAUAGGGACUAUGAAUGAUGAAUAGGGACUAUGAACGAACGAUGAAUAGGAACUAUGAACGAACGGACGAACGAUCGAAUGAUCGGACGAACGAACGAUCGAAAUUUCGGUAGCAUAACGGCUGAACAAAGAUUAUUUGGACAAACGAUCGAACGAACAGACGAACGAACCAUGGACGAACGAUCGGGCGAACGAAUGAACAAACUAAGAAUAGGUGGACGAACGAUCGAAUAACGACCGAACGAUCCUUAUGCUAGUGUGUGCUUGUGUGGGACUUGGAAUGGGCGUGUGGGGGGAGGGAGAGAGUUGCCAUGAAAUGGCUUGGGUGGCUUGAGAGGAGGCCCUUGCCCCUCUAUUUAUAGGCUAGGUGGGGGAUUAGGGGGAGGAGGUGAGGAUUAGUGGGACUGUGGGAGGAUGCGAGGAUUAGUGGGAGAUAAGCAUGUAUUAGUCUUGUAUAAGUGAAAUUAGCUUGUAGAGCUCACUGUAUGACACCGGAGGCAUACGUAUACGUAUGAGCAUGAGGAAAAUUAUGGAGAUAAUAUUUAUCGGGACUUUAAAAAUGAUUCUGAAGGUAUUUCUCAGGAGGGAAAUAUUUGGAGAAAUAUCGGUGGACUAGUUGGGCAGUAUUGCUGGAAAGAAUUAGAGGGGAUCACUAGAGAAAUAUUUGUAGGAUAUUCUGAGGAUGAAUUUGGAGAGAAUAUAGACCACUAUAUUUUAUUUGUUGAUAUCAACUCGCAAACAAACAUUUCGAAACAAAAUUUAAAAUUCAUUUUGAAUUUAGAGCGAGUUUGAGGAAAUUUCAAGAUUUGAAUUUUUGGGGUGCUACAUAUUUAUAGUAGCCGCUCGAGAUCCACUCCCGAAUCUGCUCAAAAACAAGUGCACCAGACCUCUCUCUGUAGCAAGACUCGUGCACCGAACCUCUUACUAUGCUCUGUCACAUCAGUGACCGUUGGAUAAAGGUGUCAGCCUAUCAGUGUGCACUGGACCUGCCACAUCGAUGUUUCAUCAUCAGAACAUUAGAUCUUUAUCGCUGACCCUUGGGUGCACUAUUAGUCUGGUGCACAUCGGACCUGGUCCAGUGCACCAACUAACUUGUGUCCAAAAAACAACCUCUCUGCGACCUAGUCUAGAGGGAAGUUCGGUGCUCACCUAGGCCGAUCAGGUGCACCAAACUCUGAAGGUCCCAAAAACAUGCUCUCUUAUAACCCCUUCCUGGUGACCGGUCUAGUCCACACCGGACCAAAUACUAUAGGUCCGGUGCGCCUAUAGUUAGCCUGACUUCUUCAAACUUGGCACCUUUUCCCUUGGCUUCUUUUGGCUAGUGCCUUGCGUAGUUCUAUGACUAUAAAUGUAUCUUGAGUCCAUAUAAACAUUCUAAGUCAUAGGUCUUGGCUCAAUUGAUUCUCUAAAUUCAUUUGCCCUUUCUCUUCCAUACUUUGCUUCAAAUGGCCCCUGAAACUCCAAAUUCUGAAUAUGAACUUUCCACCUAUUUCAAUGGGUUCCAAAAUGUUUCUAGGACCUUUAUAACUUAUCCAAAUGUUGAAAUGGCGCAAAUCCCAUUUCAUCAACAUGCCCUUUUUUUACUGAGUCUGAGCUAUUUUUUGUGCAUUUGAUCUUCCAAAUUCAAUCUUCUAAUCAUGUAACCAUGUACUUAGCAAACUAGUUAGUUCAUCAAGUUGUGAUGGUCACAAAAAACCAAACCAAUAUAGAAAUGGCUCAACGCACAUUUCCCUUUCACUCUUUCGCCAUUUCUUUGUCCUCUGAUGGACCAUAGGGGGAGCCAUCUAUGGUGGCUGCUACUUCGAGGGACAUGGCAAUGGCGAACCCAGACCGUUCAUCACCACAGACCCUUUAGGGCACAAGUAGUAGUGGAAACAAGAUUGAUGUCAUGAGUAAUGUCUAGGAUUGCCUCACCUUCGCCACUGUUGUUCUAGUCCCAAACACCAGGACAUAGGAGGCCUUGUCGUGGCUGGCUUUGGAUUUCCCAGAGUGUUGGAGAGGAUCCAAAUGUUGGUGACCACCGGGGUAUCAAUGACAAUGGUCCUCACCCACUUCUUCAGUCGAUGGUAGCACCCACUCCAUUAGCACACCCACACCAUGUGGAUGUACACAAGGGUGAAUGACCUAACAUAUUCCUAACAAAAGGAGCUUAAGCUUAUCAAAUCAUCAUCAUGUACACAAAUAACACACUACAAAGAGCAUAGUCACAUUCUAACAGAUAUACAAGUGAAGUUCUAGAAUAUACACGGUGAGAUGCAAAUGUAGAUAUAUUACAAAAUGCAAAUAAAAGCAAAGAGAAAAAUGCACAACUAAAAGGGAAACACACACCCAACUCCCCUCGCAAAUGUGCAAAAGUGGACUGAUCAAGGGAUUUUGUGAGGAUAUCUGCAAGUUCUCUAUGUGUAUCAACAUGGUGAAGAUCAAUGUCCCCUUUUCUCAUAAUGAUCUCUGAGAAAAUUAAAGCAAUCAUCGAUGUGCUUGGUCUUAGAAUGUAGCACAAGAUUUUUAGCAACGCUAAUAGCACUCGUGCUAUCACAAAGCAGAGGCACAUGAAAAAACUCCCAGCUAAAAUUCCUUUUCUUUUGCAGUCUUUUCCCAUUUGCGAGGAAUCUCCACAAGUUGGGGCCUCUCGCCCUUACAAUUUUGAUCACAAGAGAAGCACAAGAGUAAGGGAGGGAAAGCAACACACGCAAGACUCAAUUCGCAGCAAACACACGCACACAGGUCAAGACGUGAGCACAAAACACGGCACAGGGAGUUCACAACUCAAAUGGUGCUCAAAUCUCUAACACAACGAUCCGAAUGCAUGGCGGCGGAGUCUAGGCGUCUUAGAAUGAUCAGAGAAUGCUUGGUGUACUGCUCCAUGCGCCCAGGAGUCCCUUUUAUAGCCCCAAGGCAGCUAGGAGCCGUUGGAGAUCAAAUUGGAAGGCAAUUCUUGCCUUCUGUCGGGUGGUGCACCGGACAGUCCGGUGCACCACCGGACAUGAACAGUUCCUGUCCGGUCCAUGAUCUCCUUCCUUUUCUGGCGAAGCCGACCGUUGGGUCUUUGGUCCCGUUAGCGCAACGGACACAGUCCGGUGUGACCAUCCGAUCAUUGGCUUGGCCACGGGUCGCCCAUUGAUCGCGCAGACGACCGUUGGCCGCGGGCGUCGUUUGGCUCACCGGACAGUCCGGUGAAUUAUAGUUGUGGCGCCUGCGCUUUUUCCAGAGAGCAGCGAGUUCGCCACUGGGCCAGCCUGGGCACUGGACACUGUCCAGUGAACCACCAGACAGUCCGAUGCGCCUCAGGCUGGUGCUUAUUUGGCUUAACAUAGCCAAUUCUUCUCCACUUUUUUUCCUCUUUUCUUGGCAAUGUCUCUAGUACUUAGAUAAACAUGUUAGUACCCAAAGAAAAUUUACUAGGGCUAGAAACAUACCUUGGUUCUUGAUGUGCACUUCUAAAUCACUUGGCACAUAUGAACUUAAAACAAUGUGUUGGGCAUCUAAUCACCAAAAUAUUUAUAGAAAUAGCCCAAGGGCACAUUUCUCUUUCAAUCUUCCAUUUUUGGUGAUUUAUGCCAACACAUUAAAAAGCAACUAAAAGUGCAACAUCAUUCUCAAAAGUGCAGAUUUGAAGACCAAAUUUUCUUACUUGAGAUUUGGCAUAUUUGGAUCACUUUUGCCACCGCUUGGUUUAUUUUCACAAAUCAAAUUCUUUUUCUUAUAUCUAAGUCAAACACACUUGUUUGGGCAAAUAGAGAUGUAUUUCAAGAGUAAAACUGAUCAAGUGCCAAAAACUCCCCCUUUUCCCGUAAUCAAAAUUCUCCCCCAUAAGAGACCAAAUUUUGCAAUAAGAGGAUUUUGGACAAAAACAAAGUUUCUACUUCUACAUUUUUGAAAUUCACAAGUGGUUGGCUGAUCCAUUUGCUUUGGCCUUAAUUUCUCUCCCUUUGGCAUUAAGCACCAAAACGGGAUCACUGUUGGCCCUUUUAACCUCAUUGCCUUACCAAAAUGUCAAAUAAGAGCAAAAAGGCAAUGGGAACACAAUAAGGAACUUAGGACAAGAUUCAUUUUUACCGGAAUGCAGUGGAAGCUCUUUCCUUGUCCAAGUUCACUUUCUCUUUCAAUGUUCCUUAGAGACUACUUCAAGUGUACUCAAACAAAGAGGUUAGUCUCAAAGGAGUUAAGUUGUAGCACAUCUCCCUCUAAACAUGUGCAUCAUUUGCAUAAGGACUAGUGAGGUCCGGGGAUGACUAGUACAACUUGAGCACCACAAAUAAGCAAUAAUUGAUGUAAAUGCUCAAAGUAACAUGAUCAAAGGCAUAGAACAUAUGUAUGUUAUAGAUCAAUCCAAGUUACGCGAAUCUAAGACAUUUAGCUCACUACGCAACCUGCAAAACCUUUUCUCAUCUAAAGGCUUGGUGAAGAUAUCGGCUAGCUGGUUCUCGGUGCUAAUAUGGUAUAUAUCGAUAUCUCCCUUUUGCUGGUGAUCUCUCAGGAAGUGACGUCGGAUGUCUAUGUGCUUAGUGCGGCUGUGUUCAACAGGAUUAUCCACCAAGCGGAUUGCACUCUCAUUGUCACAUAGGAGUGGGAGUUUGCUCAGAUUGUAGCCAAAGUCCCGUAGGGUUUGCCUCAUCCAAAGUAGUUGUGCGCAACACUGUCCUGCGGCAACGUACUCGGCCUCAACAGUGGAUAGGGCAAUGGAUGUUUGUUUCUUAGAGCUCCAAGACACUAGGGACCUUCCUAGAAACUGGCACGUCCCUGAUGUGCUCUUCCUAUCAACCUUGCACCCAGCAAAGUCGGAGUCUGAGUAUCCAAGUAAGUCAAAGGUAGACCCCUUUGGAUACCAAAUUCCGAAGCAAGGCGUAGAAACUAAAUAUCUAAGAAUUCGCUUAACGGCCACAAGGUGACAUUCCUUGGGGUCGGAUUGAAAUCUAGCACACAUGCAUACACUGAGCAUAAUGUUCGGUCUACUAGCACAAAGAUAAAGUAAUGAAUCUAUCAUUGACCGGUAUGCCUUUUGUUCAACGGACUUACCUCCUUUGUUGAGGUCUAGAUGUCCGUCAGUUCCCAUCGGUGUCUUCACGGGCUUAGCAUCCUUCAUCCCAAAACUCUUGAGAAGAUCUUGAGUGUACUUCGUUUGGGAGAUGAAGGUGUCUUCCUUGAGUUGCUUCACUUGAAAUCCAAGGAAGUAGUUCAACUCGCCCAUCAUCGACAUCUCGAACUUCUGCAUCAUUACCCUGCUAAACUCCUCACAAGACUUUUGAUUAGUAGAACCAAAUAUUAUGUCAUCGACAUAUAUUUGGCAAACAAAAAGAUCACCACCACAAGUCUUUGUGAAUAGAGUGGGAUCAGCUUUCCCAACCUUGAAAGCAUUAGCAAUUAGAAAAUCUCUAAGGCAUUUAUACCAUGCUCUUGGGGCUUGCUUAAGUCCAUAGAGCGCCUUAGAGAGCUUAUACACGUGGUCGGGACACCUGUCAUCCUUAAAGCCAGGGGGUUGUUCCACGUAUACCUCCUCCUUGAUUGGUCCAUUUAGGAAUGCGCUCUCUUUAUGUCCAUUUGGAACAACUUAAAGGGAUGGUGAGCGGCAUAGGCUAAUAAAAUUCGAAUUGAUUCUAACCUAGUCACAGGAGCGAAAGUCUCCUCAAAGUCCAAACCUGCGACUUGGGCAUAACCUUUUGCCACAAGUCGAGUCUUGUUUCUUGUCACCACUCUGUGUUCGUCUUGUUUGUUGCGGAACACCCACUUGGUUCCCACAACAUUUUGCUUUGGACGUGGCACCAGGCUCCAGACUUCAUUUCUUUUGAAGUUGUUGAGCUCUUCCUGCAUGGCCAACACCCAGUCUAGAUCUUGCAAGGCUUCUUCUACCCUGAAAGGCUCAAUAGAAGAAAAAAAGAGUAAUGCUCAUAGAAAUUAGCUAAUCAUGAGCGAGUUGUUACUCCCUUGCUGAUGUCACCCAGAAUCUGAUCCACUAGAUGAUUUCUUUGGAUCAUCGCUCGGACUUGAGUUGGAGGUGCCCGUGAUGCUUCUUCCUCCAUAACCUGUUCUUCCUGUGCUCCCCCUUGAUCCUGCCCCUCUUCUUGAGGUACCUGUUCAUUGCCUUGAGUUGGGGGAUGCACCGUCGUAGAGGAGGAGGGUUGAUCUUGUUCCUGUAGUUCCUGUGGUUGCACAUCACCUAUUGCCAUAGUUCGCAUUGCGGUCGUCGAAACUUCAUCUUCAUCUACAUCAUCAAGAUUAGCUUGCUCUCUUGUAGAGCCAUUAGUCUCAUCAAAUACAACGUCGCUAGAGACUUCAACAAAUCCUGAUGAUUUGUUGAAGACCCUAUACACCUUUGUAUUUGAGUCAUAUCCUAGUAAAGACCCUUCUACUGUUUUGGGAGCAAAUUUCGAAUGUCUACCUUUCUUCACCAGAAUGUAGCAUUUGCACCCAAAAACACAAAAAUAAGAAACAUUGGGUUUGUUACCAGUUAGGAGUUCGUAGGAAGUCUUCUUGAGGAGAUGGUGCAGAUAGAGCCAGUUUAUGGCAUGGCAAGCCGUGUUCACAGCUUCCGACCAAAACCGCUCAGGCGUCUUGUACUCUCCAAGCAUCAUUCUCGCCAUGUCGAUUGGCGUCCUGUUCUUCCUCUCUACCACACCGUUUUGAUGUGGUGUGUAGGGAGCAGAGAACUCAUGCUUGAUGCCUUCCUCCUCAAGAUACUCUUCAACUUGUAAAUUCUUGAACUCGGACCCAUUGUCGCUUCUUAUCUUCUUCACCUUAACUCAAACUCAUUUUGAGCUCUCCUUAAGAAGCGCUUUAGGAUUCCUUGGGUUUCAGAUUUGUCCUGCAAAAAGAAUACCCAAGUGAAGCGGAAAAAGUCAUCAAUUAUCACAAGACCAUACUUACUUCCCCCGAUGAUGAGAUAGGCAACAGGGCCGAAGAGAUCCAUGUGAAGGAGUUCCAGUGGUCUUGACGUUGUCAUCACAUUCUUGCUGUGAUGAUUGCUUCCCACCUAUUUCUCUGCUUAGCACGCUGCACAAGGUAUGUCUUUCUCAAAACAGACAUCGGUUAGUCCUAACACAUGAUCUCCCUUUAGAAGUUUAUGAAGGUUCUUCAUCCCAACAUGUGCUAGACGGCGAUGUCAAAGCCAACCCAUAUUCGUCUUAGUGAUUAAGCAUGCAUCUAGAUCGACAUUCUCCUUCGAGAAAUCAACUAAAUAGAGCUUUUCAUCUAAUGCACCCUUAAAGGCUAAUGAACAAUCACUUCUUCUAAAGACAGAUACAUCAAUAUUUGUAAAUAAACAAUUGUAGCCCAUAUGACACAAUUGACUUAUAGACAAUAAAUUAUACCCGAGCGACUCUACUAAAAACACAUUUGAUAUCAAGUGCUCGGUCAUGAUGGCUAUCUUGCCCAAUCCUUUAACCUUGCCUUGAUUCCCAUCUCCAAAGAUGAUAGUAUCCUAGGAAUCCCUAUUCUUGACAUAGGAGGUGAACAUUUUCUUCUCCCCCGUCAUGUGGUUUGUGCAUCCGCUGUCGAUAAUCUAGAUUGAGCCCCCGGAUGCAUAAACCUUCUUUUCUUAGCCAUAAGGCAUGUAUGGCACUUGUUGGGGAAGAGCGAAGAUUUGUCGAAGGCCGAGGUAGCCAGUCCUUCAUUGUUGGAGUCGGAUGAGGAACAGUCGGAGUCCCAUUCCUUUCCAAGGUGCGCCUCGCCCUUCGCCUUCCUAUAGUUCUUCUUUUUCUCCUUCUUCCCAUGCUUUUCUUGUGCCUAGUCAUUCUCAUUAUCGUCACAUUGAACUAUAAAAUGACCAGUCUUACCGCAUUUGAAGCAGGAGUGUUUUCCCCUUGACUUGUUCUUAUUGGGGGUACUCCUUUUGUCCUUUUAGUGCGGUCUUGAAGCGCUUGAUGAUGAGCGCUAUCUCAUCUUCAUUGAGCCCGGCAGCCUCCACUUGUGCUACCUUGCUAGGCAGCGCCUCCCUGCUGCUGGUUGCGUUGAGAGCAACAGGUUGUGGCUCGUAGACGGGGAGUGGGCCGUUCAAGGCGUCGUCCACAUAUCUUGCAUCCUUCACCAUCAUGCGCCCGCUUACGAAUUUUCCGAGGAUUUCCUCGGGCGUCAUCUUGGUGUACCUAGGGUUCUCGCGAAUAUGAUUUACAAGAUGGGGGUCAAUAACUGUAAAUGACCUGAGCAUGAGUCGGACGACGUCAUGAUCCGUCCAUCUUGUACUCCCGUAGCUUCGAAUUUUAUUGAACAGGGUCUUGAGACUAUUGUAGGUCUGUGUUGGCUCCUCUUCCCUUAUCAUCGCGAACCUUCCUAGCUCGCCUUCCACCAGUUCCAUCUUGGUGAUCAUCGUGGCGUCAUUACCCUCGUGAGAUAUUUUGAGGAUGUCCCAAAUCUUCUUGUCGUUGUCCAAGCCGCUGACCUUGUUAUAUUCAUCACUGCAUAGAGAUGCUAGCAACACAGUAGUAGCUUGGGCAUUUUUAUGAAUUUGUUCAUUAAUAAUCACAGGUUUAUCAGUACUAUCAAAGUGCAUUCCAUUUUCUACAAUUUCCCAAAUACUAGGAUGGAGGGAAAAUAGAUGACUACGCAUUUUACGGCUCCAAAAUGAGUAAUCCUCUCCAUCGAAGUAUGGAGGUUUUCCAAGUGGAAUAGACAGUAAAUGAGCAUUUGAAUUGUACGGGGUGCGAGAAUAAUCAAACGAGUAAUUUUGGUUAACCAUUUUCCAUUUGUACGAGGAAUCAUCAUCGUCAUCAUCCCUUGGUGAAGAGGAGGAGGCAUCACCGUCGUAGUAGAUAAUCUUCUUGAUGCGUCUCUUCUUCUUCCCAUCCCUCUUCUUGUGACUCAAGCCUGAGUCAGUGGGUUUGUCGUCUCUUGGCUCGUUGAAGAAGGACUCCUUCUCCUUGUCGUCGAUCACCAUCCCCUUGCCCUUAGGAUCCAUCUAUUCGGGCGGUUAGUCCCUUAGAUGAAGAGUAUGGCUCUGAUACCAAUUGAGAGCACCUAGAGGGGGGUGAAUAGGUGAUCCUGGGAUAUUCAACACUAAUAUCCCAAACUUGGUUCAUUAAAUGUUAGUUAAAUUAAACCAAGUUGCUAUAGAGCGAGCUCUUGAGAAGAAAUCAAUCAUAGAGAAAAGCAACACAAGAGACAUGGUGUUUUUAUCCCGUGGUUCGGCCAAGUGACACUUGCCUACUUCCACGUUGUGGCGUCCCAAUGGACGAGGGUUGCACUCAACCCCUUUCAAGUGAUCCAAUGAUCAACUUGAAUACCACUGUCCUUUUCUUUUGCAGUCUUUUCCCGUUUGCAAGGAAUCUCCACAAGUUGGAGCCUCUCGUCCUUACAAUUUUGAUCACAAGAGAAGCACAAGAGUAAGGGAUGGAAAGCAACACACGCAAGACUCAAUUCGUAGCAAACACACGCACACAAGUCAAGACAUGAGCACAAAACACGGCGCAGGGAGUUCACAACUCAAAUGGUGCUCAAAUCUCUAACACAAUGAUCCGAAUGCGUGGCGGCGGAGUCUAGGCGUCUUAGAAUGAUUAGAGAAUGCUUGGUGUAUUGCUCCAUGCGCACAGGGGUCCCUUUUAUAGCCCCAAGGCAGCUAGGAGCCGUUGGAGAUCAAAUUGGAAGGCAAUUCUUGCCUUCUGUCGGGUGGUGCACCGGACAGUCCGGUGCACCACCGGACAUGAACAGUUCCUAUCUAGUGCACGAUCUCCUCCCUUUUCUGGCGAAGCCAACCGUUGGGUCUUUGGUCCCGUUGUCGCACCGGACACUGUCGGGUGCACACCGGACACUCCGGUGUGACCAUCUGACCGUUGGCUUGGCCAUGUGUUGCUCGUUGAUUGUGCAAACGACCGUUGGCCGCGGGCGCCGUUUGGCUCACCGGAAAGUCCGGUGAAUUAUAGUUGCGGUGCCUUCGCUUUUUCUCGAGAGCAGUGAGUUCGCCGCCAGGCCAACCUGGGCACCGGACACUGUCUAGUGCACCACCGGACAGUCCGGUGCGCCUCAUGCUGGUGCUGAUUUGGCUGAACAUAGUCAAUUCUUCUCCACUUCUUUUCCUCUUUUCUUGGCAAUGUCUCUAGUACUUAGAUAAACAUGUUAGUACCCAAAGACAAUUUACUAGGGCUAGAAACAUACCUUGGUUCUUGAUGUGCACUUCUAAAUCACUUGGCACAUAUGAACUUAAAACAAUGUGUUGGGCAUCUAAUCACCAAAACAUUUAUAGAAAUGGCCCAAGGGCACAUUUCCCUUUCAGUACCUCAUAAUCCGUUUGACAGUCCAUCUAUGAUAAGCGCGUGGGGAAGCCUGAAAUUGAGUGCACAGACACAUUGCAAAGUGUAUGUCUGGCCUCAUCACCAUCAAGUAUAGAAGGGAGCUAAUCAUGAUACUGUACUCCUUAUGGUCCACAGGAUCAUCGUCCUCAUUGGAAUUGAGCGUCAUCGUCAUGGACAUGGCAUCGAAAGAGGCUUGGCCUCACCCAUGUCAAACUUCUUUGGGACAUCCUCUGUGUAUUUGCCUUGGUGCACAAAAGUCCAGUCUUGGUUCUGCUUGAUUUGCAGCCCAAGGAAUAAGUUGAGCUCUCCCAUCAUGCUCUUCUCAAACUUCCUACUCAUAGUAUCUAAAACUUGGAAACAAGAGCAUGAGAAGAACCACUAAAUAUGAUAUCAUCCACGUAUAUCCGAACCAAAAGGGUAUCAUUACCAUGCUUUAGGAGAAAAAGAGUUAUCCAUAGAGCCCAUUUUUAAAACCCUUUGCAAGCAAGAAAGAUUUCAAACGUUCAUACCAGACUCUAGGGGCUUGUUUCAAACCAUACAAAGCUUUUUGAAGUUUAAAACAUAGUUUGGAAACAUGGAACUCUCAAAACUAGGAGGCUACCUCACAUAAACCUCUUCCUCUAUAUACUCAUUUAAGAAAGCACUUUUGACAUCCAUUUGAAAAAGUUUAAAACCCUUUGAAGUAGCAAAAGCAAGAAGUAUUCUAAUGGCUUCUAAACGGGCUACAGGGGUAAAGGUUUCCUCAUAAUCAAGACCCUCUAACUGGCGAAACCCUUGGGCAACAAACCUCGCCUUGUUUCUCACUACCAACCCAUCCUCACUUUGCUUGUGUUUUGAAAACCCAUUUUGUAUCGAUGGGAUGGCAGUUCGAAGGAAGUGGCAUCAAAACCUAAACCUAGUUUCUCAAAAAAAAUCAAGCUCCUCAUGCAUAGAAUUGACAUAGUUAGAAUGAGAAAAGGCAUUUCUAACAUCUUGGGGCUCAAAAGAAGCAACAAAAGAUGAGUGAGCAAAGUGAGACAUCUCAUCAUACCUAGAGCGAGUGACUCACUCAUGAAGCUCACCAAUCAUCUGGUGAGGAGGAUCGCGCUGGAUGUGGCAUGGAGCCCCACUCGCAGAGGUAGACAAUAGCCUGAACUCUAGGCUCAACACCCUCUGGAUCGAGUGGACCCUAAGUGGUGGAAAUAGACAUGUUGGGUCUGUCGUUCGAGGUCAUCGAUGUAGGCACAAUCGGGACAGCCGGUAGAGUCCGCUCGAGAUCACCCCAGUCGGCGUUGUCGUGCUCCUCCUCCACAAAGGUUAUCUGAUCUAGACCUGUAGACUCAAAGACAGGGGAUGGACUAGGCGAAGUCUCAUCAAAGGUCACCUCACAAAUCUCCAUGAUACGAUUAGUCUCAAGGUUAAGAAUACGAUAAGCACGGGAGUGUAAUGCAUAACGAACAAAAACACUAUCAGAAGACCGUGACUCAAACUUGUCCAAAUUACCUUGCUUCAAAACAAAGCACAUGUAGGAUGUAGCCAAACACCCUAAAAUGGCUAACCUUGGGUGGCUGUCCAAAUCAUAUCUCAUAAGAAGUCUUGUUUAGAAAAAGCACAAAGAAAGAUGCAAUUGGACACAUGGCAGGCAAUGUUGAUUGCUUCAGUCCAAAAUCACCUAGGAAUUCUAUGCUCAUCGAGCCUCAUCCUGGCCAUCUCGAUAAGAGUCCAAUUCUUGAUUCAACAAUACCAUUCUGCUGGGGCACAUAUGGAGAGGAAAACUGAUGCUUGAGUCCCAAAGAAGCACAAAAGGUUUAAAAAUGAGUUUUUGAAUUAUGUGCCAUUGUCACUGUGAAUCACUCUCAUGACAUUCUUAGGAAACUCAUUUUGCAACCUAAGAAUCAAAUCCCGAGCAUGAGUAAAAGCACCAUUCUUCGCCACCAUAAAGAACACCCAAGAAUAGCGAGAAAAGUCAUCGACAACCACAAGCACAUACCACUUCCCCUCAAAAGAGCAUACCCAAGCUAGGCCAUUAGUGUCCAUAUGAAGCAACUCGUCGGGCUGCAAGGUCAUCACCUUGGUGAUCGGCGUAUGGGAAGUAGCAACCAUUUUUCCAUGAUGAACAAGGUGACAGACAAGACCUUUCUCAAAUUUCAGUUGGGCAAUCCUUUGAUGAGGUCAAGUGAGCUCAAGCUACACAAAAGAUCGAAGCUCAAAUGACCUAGCCUCCUAUGCCACAUCCAAAUCAAAGACGAAGAUCCUACAAAAGGACAUCGAGAGGGGUCGGGCGAAUGAGAAAAAUCAGCUCAAAAACUUGACCAACGAGGAGAUCCAACAAACAAGAUCCCCCUAGGCAUCCAAAACACGAGAAAGACCCCUCUUAAAGCGCACUUCAUAGUCAUCCUCAGGGAGUUGCAAAACAGAAAGCAAAUUGAAGUGAAAAUUCAAAACCAAAGCAACAUCCUUGAAGACAAAGCUCUCGUUCACACGAAUGGUGCCAUGAGAGACCACCUUUCCUCUCGACUUACCCCCGAAUGUGAUGUAUUCCUUACCGAUCAUAGGGUUGAGGCUGGAGAACCAUCUAGAGCUUUCAGUCAUGUCGUGCGAACAGCCAAAAUCCAUGAGCCACGUGUUCUACAAGCCUCUGUCCUGCAUCAAUAAAAAGACACGAGGUGAGCAAAUGGCACAACACUGAGGUUAGUAAACUAUGAAGGAUACUGGUGCUACAACAUUUUCCCAUGAAAAGUGUUAGGAAAAACACCAAACAUCCCUAGUCCCAAAGGGGGAUAGCGAUCACCACGAGAAGGAAACUAUGGUCUGCUAGGGAAGUGAGAACCAAGGCCUCUACCACAGGGUUCUUGGCCAUAUGGCACACGACUAGCACUCCAUCGGGUAUAACCACCAUGUGGUCUCACUGCCUGAGGCCUAGCAGCAUGAGGCAAAGCACCUUUAGGCCUCGCAAGACGUCUCUGAAUAGGAAGAUCAUGAACACCAUGAGAAGGGUGGUUCAUGUUCCUUCUGCUCUACUUAGAAACCCACUUCUCAUCUCUCUUCCUCCUAAAGCAGAAAGCAGCCAAAUGCCCCUCCCUCUCAAAAUACUCACAAUGGAACCUCACCUCUCCCUUAGGCGGAAUCUAUUUGUGGGAGUGGGUAUUGUUGGGUGGCUGAGGAGCUCUUGGAGGGGGAACACUAGAGAUGUCAGAAAGGGUGUCAAGUUAGUUCCUGAGAUGGUUAGGUUUUGGACAAUACACUUGUUUCUGAGGGGGGUUAUAGCAGGGGUUGCCAAUUUAGGUGGAGUGAGCUUGACAAGUUUGUGGGUGGCUAAAGGUUUCUUUGAGGGUUUCAGGCCACUGCACUCACCGACCUUACCAAAACAAACGACACUCCCAUCCUUAGCAGAAAAGCCUAAACCCCGUUCGCUAGUUCCCCUCUUGAACUGACUAACCAUCAUGCCCAACUAGGGCUCACUGCACGAUACUCAGCUCAAUCUUGAUCAAAGAUAUGUGUUUUCUUCCUUGAUAUAAGUCUUGUCAUGUCUGCAGGACUCAAGAGCAGACUACAAACCCUUAUAGGGUGCACAUUGCGCAGGUGCAGAUGCACUCACUGAGCUUGCCUUCUCAAGCGAGGCUAUCAUAGUGUUCUCCUCCGUUAUCUCAGUCUGCAAGCCAAGACAAGUCUGACAUGCACCCAACAAGCUAGACCUAUAUUGAAGCUCAUCGCACUCAUCUAGCAGGGUGGCAUACUUGGUCUGCAAAGUGGUGAUGUUCAACAUGUGAAGGGCACACCCAUCACAUUUAGUCUCAUCAGAGAACACAACUAAAGCUCUAGCAGACUCAAGCUCCCUAGGUGUGCUCUCAUACUAGGAUUUAGACUCUUUCCUCUCACGAGUAGCAAGCCUAAGCAACUUGUCCUGAUUCACCAAAGCAGUGUUUAGCUCUUCUACCUCAGCGACGAGAUCAUCAAUGAAAUGUGAUACCUCAGAAGUAGAGUCGUCGUCGAUGUCCUUGUCGUCGUCGCCCACUGUCUCAUGACUAAGGGCCAUGGUGCAAAGGCCUCUUGUAGUGUUGGUGAUGAAGCAUAGCUCAUUGAGCUUGUCCUCAACACGCCUCUCGGGCUCCUCGCCGCUCAAGGACGAGGCUGACUUGUUAGAGUCAUGGUCGAGGUCGCUCAGGGAGGCGAGGAAGGCGCGCUCCUUGACCUUCCCGUAGAGGUACUUAUUCUCGAGUGCCUCUUUAUUGAACCUCCCCCUAGACUUAUGCUUUCCAAAGGUGUGUUCCCGCUUGCCCUUCGUUGACUAGAGUGGUCGUGCGGGGCCAGCCUCCUUUCUUGCCCUUCUUAGGACAACUGGUGAUGAAGUGGUCGGGGUCGCCAUAGCUGUAGCAUCCGUCCUUCGACCCACCACACCACCGAUUUUGGUGGUUGUUGUGGAACCGCACAAACUGGCUAGCCACAAGCGCCAACUCUUCAUCUCCAAGGCUCUCCACCUGCUCCUCUGUGAUAGACAAGGAAGAUAGAGCAAACAAAGCAGGUGAGGGGUUAGAAGAAGAACCACCUCUAGAGACCAGGGCUAUGGUGGGUGGACCAGGGUUCUCAAUCUUGGCCUAGGUUUGGUGGUCAACCUUGGUGGACUGAGCUUGCUGAACCGCUCGUCCACGGUGAGAAUCUCAUAAUUUGGUGACUCGAUGAUCACUGAGACUUUCACCUCCCAAACCCUCUAAUCUAGAUCAUGUAGCAACUUCAAUGCUAUCUCAUGAUCAUCAUAGGGAAGCUAUGCCUUGUUUGCACGUAUCUUGUUCACAAUCGAUUGGAAUUGAUAGAACAUUGUGUCGAUCAUCUCUCCAGUCAACUGAACAAAGUUCUCGUACUCUCGCUGAUAUGUCUCAAAAAAUCUGGUCUUUACAUCAUCAUUGCCCUCAUGAAAUUUCUCGAGGGUGGAUAUGAUCUCGUGAGUUGUACCAAAAUGUCCAACUCGCUUAAACUCAGCAAGCAAGAGACAUAAGAACAAAGUGUUUCGAGCUUUGUUAUUCGAAUCAUGGCACUCCAUCUGAAGAGGAGUGAUUUUAGCACCCUGAGCUUGAACAUAGCAUCGAGGUAAAUCUUCGAGACGUGAUACCCAAUAUUCUAAAGAUAUGUCGAUGUGCGUAUCUUCCAGUAUGGUUAGUUUGUCCUAUCAAAGAACGGAGGUUUGCCAACACCUCGUUCCAUGUCGCCUUCGUGAAUUUCAGACCGAUUAGGGUAAGGAAAUCCUUAGUCGGCUCUAAUACCAAUUGAAGGAUUAGUGAGGCGACUAGAGGGGUGAAUGGGAGCCUCUAAAAAUUCUCUCCUGAGAACAACACCGGGACUUUGAUCUUAGACUUCAACACAGCCCCACGGGAAGACUAAAACUGCGUACCAUAGUAAUACUCAAUCCAGUGUCGAUUGAAUAUACCAAACUGCAACAUAGAGAACUGUCCAACUAUUUGCAUGGUAGCUUCCAGUCAUGCCUAGGUCUAACAUGACCACCAACCUGAACUCUCUCUCUCUCUCUCUUUCUAGUACCCUUGGUACAUUGGUGUUGUUACAUAAUGAUAGAAUGUAUAAAUUGAAAGAUGGGAUUCAUCAGUAGUUAGACUUAGUCAGGGCAAAUUUAUUUUGGCAAGGCUCUAGCGAAAAUUCUAAAUAUCAUAUGAUGAAGUGGGAGAACGUUUGUAUACCUAAGGAUUGUGGAGAUUUUGGGGUUAUGGUCGCAAGGGUUAUGAAUGAAGACUUACCAGGUAAAUGGGUUCAGAAUAUUUUGAAAGUCCGAGAGGAUGAUCCAUGCUUUGCUUUAAUCAAGGUUAAGUAUAAUACUAAAGGUAAAUUUUGCUCUCAAUUUUGGAAGGGAAUACUAUAUGCAAGGAACUUGGUAAAUGGGGAUUAUCAACAACGAUUAACAAUGAGAAAAUGUACUAUUUUGGGAGGAGGUAUGGGUUUUGGACAUGCCACUAAUAUUAGAAUUCCCAUUUUUUGUUGUUUGUCAAAAUAAUCAUUGUUUGGUCAGUGGUUGUUAGGAAGGAGGUGGAUAGAAAGUUAAAUUUAGAUUUUCCCUGGGGUGGAGGACAUGAAAGAGUGGGAAAGGUUGCUGGACAUUUUGGAAGGAGUGAUAAUUACUAAACGAGAAUAUAUGUUAUCUUCGUCGUUAGAGAAAUCUAGACAGUAUACAACAAGAUCCACGUACUACAGGUAAACUUUUAGGGGUAUUGUGAACAAGAGGAUGAGUAAACUCUAAAAGAACAAAGCUCCAAUGAAAAUUUAGGUUUUUAUGUGGUUAGUCAUAGGGCAAGUUGCAAACAGGUGUUGAUCUAAAAAGGAAGUAGUAGGGAAAUGUGAAGUGUCUUUGCGAGGAAUUGGAAAAUGAAGAUCACAUUUUCUUUGGGUGCAUCAUGGGAAGAACCAUUUGGGACUCUUUUAAGGAGGCCUAAGAAUGCCAUAAAGUUUGCAAGAUCUUUUUGAAGAGUGUCUACCUAUAAACAAUAGUAAAUAUCAUGUCAAAAUUUUCAUCUUCGCCAUUAUUCUUUAGGAGAAUUUAGAAUGUUCCGAAUAAAAUAUGGAUAGAAAAGAAGUUCCCAAAGUCAUCCAAUUUUCUACAAAAUCUUCAACUUUAAGAUUGAGAGUGGGUGUUGUAAAGUUCUUGGAAGAUGAGUUGAACCCCAUGGAGGCGUUGGCUAAAGUACUGAAAGCAAUCUAAAGACAUGGAGGUGGAAGGCCUGACGUAGAUAGAGAAGAUGCUCUUAGCUUUCAUUGUCUUUCUUUUGUAGUCAUCUGAUUUACCUCUCUCGUUUAUACAACUGGUUUUUUAAACACUCCUUAACUUUUCAAAUUGUCUCUUUCUUUACCCUAGACUAGAUAAUUUUAAUGGUGAUUUUGCUAAUGUGGCGCCAUGUUAGAUAGAGGUAAAAUGAACUAGUUAAAAGCUCAGAGUGAUAAAUCAGGCUCUCAAAAAUUCAUAAACUGUUUUUUAAAUAUCCAAAUAUUUUUACAUGGAAAAUAAUAAAAUUUAGUUUAGUAUUAAAAAAUUCAGUUGAAUAUAGUUUUGUCUUCAAAAAUUAUGAAACUGAUCUUAAUUAUUUUUCCUUAAAACCGUGCUCUAUCUUUGAUGUCUAGUUUGAGACGAUUAUAUAAUUUUUUUUGUGCUUAACUACGACGAGCUGAAGUACGUAGAAAUACUAGUGGAGUCGUGCCGCGUGUGCCUGUAGCCACUCGUACGCUACAGCCCAAGCGCUAGAGCCCAAGAGGCCGGAGGUGGAAGGCGUCGCGGCACUAUAGCCACUCGCCGCAAGAGCCCAAGAGGCCGGAGCUGGAAGGAUGAGGGUCUGGGUGUUCACGAAUUGCCUGGAGGCAGGAGGCUCGUCGUCCGGAGCCACAGGCGUGGAGACGUCCGGGAUAAGGUGAGCAGCCGCUGCGAUAGGGGCGCGUGUGAACCCCGUCGCGCCCCACGGAUGGUAUAAGAAUAAAGGCAUUCCGCGUGCAGGAUUCACCCGUUCGCCUCUCACCUUUUCGCUGUACUCACUCGCCACACACACCCCCUCUCCAGCUCCGUUGGAGCUCCGGACAGCAGCAGGCGCGGGGCGGUCACGUAGUAAGCAGCUCUCGGCUCCCUCUCCCCUUGCUCCAUAUGAUCGUGCAACCCAUCGAGCUACGCGCGUGGACUGCCUUCCCUGGGUCGGCGCAGGAGGGGAUCGGAAGGAUGGCGGCGUCGGUUUCCAGGGCCAUCUGCGUUCAGAAGCCGGGCUCAAAAUGCACCAGGGACAGGGAAGCGACCUCCUUCGCCCGCCGAUCGGUCGCAGCGCCGAGGCCCCCGCACGCCAAAGCCGCCGGCGUCAUCCGCUCCGACUCCGGCGCGGGACGGGGCCAGCAUUGCUCGCCGCUGAGGGCCGUCGUUGACGCCGCGCCGAUACAGACGACCAAAAAGGUAUCCCUUGCAGCUCUUAGAAACUGAAUUCGCGAGGCAGCCAGCCAAUAUAGCCGAGAGAGCAUUUUUUGAUUGGCCGGAUACAUGUAUGUUGCUGUGACUGCUGAGAUGAAAAUUAACGGACAGGAAACACAUAAAUAAAGACAAAAAAAAGUCAAAAAAAACCCCGAAGUAUACAUGUAUAUAUAAAGUCACUCAGUAAUAUACACAUAAAAACCGGUCUAAUCCGCAUGUCGUGCGUUAACGUAUUAUAAUAUACGUAAUAUUUGGUGAUUAAUAGAUAUAUUAAUAUAACACAAGUACACAGAAUUACGUAUAGAUUACGUAUAUCAUGAAUAUGAUUCCGCAAAUACGAAAGGAGUUCUCACAAAUACAGAACACAGGACAGGAUACACACGCCACCACACAUAAGUUGAUCCCGCCGUCGAGCGCGAGCUCAUGUCUUCCCACCAAGGCGUGUCAAGGUGUCCUCGCAAGCGUGGAGAUGAACAAGUGUUUUCUGAAAUGCUCAUGUCCGAGCUCACCACCAUAUGGACAGUUCCAACCCGACGAGCAAGGUGGUGUCUCCACGACCGACGCUGCCCGUACCACCAACGUUUGCGUUACAACACCUGUGGUCCUUGUGACCACCUUCGCUUAAAUUUAAACCUAAUUAUGAAAAUCAUUUACGCAGAGGACAUCGAGAAUAGUAGUAGUAGAAGUAAGAAUUCCCAAACAAGUUCUUGUUUUUGUUCAAAACAUUCAAAUUUUCAUAAGAAUAAGUCCUUCCUUUUUUUACUCCAAACUUGGGAAGUGGGACUAACUAGACUAGAGCAUUUCGGGCUUGGCAGGCAAUUGAUAUGGCCCGAAAAGACCCAUAAGGUAGGCCCAUUCAAGCUAUUGGAGGUGUUUGGGUAAGGAAAACGGGCAUCAGACAAAUUAGGCCCAUCCCAUGAAUGCAUAGCCCAGCCCAAACCUGGUUCAAAUAGAGGGCUCAAUCAUAUCAAAUGUGAAGUGAGGUUUUUUUCUCUCGACGCAAGAGCAUCUCCAAUAAUUAUCAUAAAAAGUAGUGAAUUAAUAACUUCCCUCAAUACCUAAAAGUAGACAUAUCGGAUCAGAUCAAUAUCGGACCUUGGGUUAUUUGGUACGACUCGCGCCCGAUUCGUGUCUAGUAUCGGGCCAGGUUACCUGUGUUUCUUGGUUGGAUGUGUUGGGUCGGUUUUUCGAUAAAAAUCAUGGCCCGCGUCUGACACGUGGAUUAUAGCGGGUCAAAAUCUAUAGCCCUUGCCCGCCCGUUGUAUUAGUCAGAUCGGGUCAGGUUGGUUGGGUCGAGUGACACAUGCUCAUAUCUACCUCCUAAAUAAUAGAAGAUGGUUGUGCAUUAAUAAUUCUGGACUAUUUUCAAAUAUACCCUGAUCACUUGCAAUAUUUUUUUAUUGGGUUAGACCUGAGGUAUUAAUUGAUUGUGGACGUUAGUGGACUUGGGUUUAGGGUUGCAUCAAUACAUAAUAUCUCUUUGGAACAUGUAAAUAUAAUCCUUUUUUUCAAAAGAAAAAAAAGUUGAUCCUGCUGGCCGGUGAUCGAUAUUAUCUUGUCUUCAAUCAAAUCAAAACUGCCGAAGCGUUAGUUCCAUGCCUUGAAACCUUUAUUACUAUAACAAGACAAACUGCCGCACGACUAUCAAUACAGAGUGACGCCGUCUAUUUUGUAGCGAUACUAAUUACUACUACCCUAUAUAUGUAAGAUUUUAAGAACCAGACAAACUGGUGUGCAGAGAGCAGUCCAUGCCCAUGGUUUUCGCCAAAAACCAGUCGAGCACAGUGCUACUGCUACCAGCCUAUCACGCUACAACCACGCAACUGCUCUGGUCACGUAAAAGGAUUUUCCCGUGGCUCGGUACAUCCGCACACGUACGUCGAGAAUGUGAACGGAAUCGAGCAUGGAAUCCACGCACGGAUAGACAGGCCGCGCGUCAGGUGCACCUUGGCAACCUAGCUAGCAACUUGAUUAUUACGGUAGGAUCGCUCGGCGGCCAUCCGGCAAGUGGCCGACGCAGCUAGAAAACAAGCAUCGAAAGUACCUUUUCUUUUUUCCAAUGCGGCUAAAUCCAAGAAAUCACGGGGACUUUUUGUCCAGCAAAAGGUUCGCUUCACUUGGCACACAAUCGAGUGGCUAGCUAGGGACAUGUUAUACGGUGCCGCAUUUUUAUUUUCUUUGGCCGUUGGUUCCAAUGGCAUCGUCACUUCCCCCACAAAUUCUACCGACAAUAAUCAGGGGUAAAAAUGCUGGCUUCAAAUAGUAGCAGCCAUUUAGUAAUUAAUUACUAGCAACAGUGGUGGCAGGCGGCAGACAUGCUCGUAUCAAUUUUCUACGCUUGUCUUGUCUCAAUAAUGUCCAGUGUUUGUCUCCCAAGACUUGCGUGUUUCAACUGGGGAUCCUAAGGUCAUGGCCUCAUAUGCAUAUAGGAUCACACUACAAGAGCCUUUUAUGACUUUAUAUCGUUCAAUUAAUAAUUUUAAUAUAAAUAAAGAUAUUAGUAAUAAAAAAAUUACUCCUCAACACUUUCUACUAACAUCCUCUAAUUUAAAUUUCUCACUAGCCAAAGACAGAGAGUAGGAGUGACUCUCUAGAGAGUGUGCUGUGCGCAUAAGAUAUGAAAAAUCUAUUAAAUUGUGAAAAGGACAAUAGAGCGAUUUUUAUCCAAAUAGUUUUUAAAACAAUGGUUCCGAAAGUUAGUUUAAGAGUGGAUCUUAGAGAUGUUGUAGAUUAUCAUAAUGUUGACACAUGUUCAAAGGCAUACACCAUUAUGAAUGUUAAAUUCUGCAAACUUUAGAUACACAAAAGGUGGCCUUUUUAAAGACACAACAUGAGACCCUAAAUUUAUGAUAUGACUGAUUUUAAAGAUAUAUCAUUGUAUGAUGUCGUCUGUUUGCUAUCUCCUGUACUAGAAAAAACCGGGCUAGCUAGAGGCUCAGGGUUGUAUAUCCACAAUCUAGUUUAUCCACCAUUAAUAAGAUAGAAUUUGUUAUGGUGUGGCAAUGCAUUUCCAACGACGUUCUGCAUAUAGUUUUACUUCCUAAGGUAGCGGAUAAUGUUUAAAAACGCAAUUUUGUCAACCAGGAUUAGGAAGCUCAUUAUGAGUUUGCCUCCAUUUGGUUAGAACAUGGAACACGUUCUGCAUAUAGUUUUUCUCUGGGUAAGAUUGCGUAGCGAUCAGGUUUUCGGAUCUUCCACUCCGUUUUCCCGUCGUCAUACGUAGGCGUAGCGGUCCACCUCAUUCACUUGUAGUUGUAGCUAGGAAGCUCUCUCCCAACGGCGUGCCGCAUACGUACGUACAAAAAUGGCAUGAAUUUGCUCCACCGUGUUUACAUAUAUAGGAGAACUUGGAUAAAUCCCAAUCCCAAAAAGUUUAUAACCAUAAUUGUAAAUACUGCAACACAUGGAUAUGGGCACUGUAGUUCACCCCUACCUUAUAAGCACCAAGCUGCGGCAGAGCGGCUCGGAGUGCGUGCAAAAAAAGACAGCCAUCCGUGCGCUCUCCUUGUGGCUUCUGCAGGCUGCAGCAGCUGCCACCCGCCCGCGGCCCCGCGCCACAUGGACGCACGGUGGACGGUGCUCUGCCUCUCCCGGGAACGCCGUGACCGGGUACUAGCUAGCUUGAACGGGAUACCAGGCGGAGACGGACGGCCGCGCGCCCGCGGAUUUGCGGAAGCGUGCGUGUCGCCGGCCGUGCUGCGAUCUAUCCCAUCGUCUAACAGGCGACCCAUCCAGCUGACGCGACGAAUUAACAACGCUAUCCGCGCGCAUGCAUGGCCAUGACUUGGCUAUUUUGCACUGUGCAAAUGUCUGCCCAGUAGUUCAUCUCACGAACACAAAUGCCGGUGGUCAGUAGGAGAGAGAAGAACUAACUCCAGCGUCCGAUCGGGACGCCACUCGCUCGCUCACAAGCAAGACACACUAGCUAGUCUCAUGCUCUCAACUACAACAACGCUAGUAAAGCCUAAAACACACACACGCACGCACACACAAGCAAAGCGAGCAACGUACGUUCGUCAGUGCGUCCUUGUGAAACAGAAAGCGCGCGCUAUAUAGCUAUAGCUGCACCGUGUCUGCAUGCGUGCUGACACGGCAGUGUGAGUCACACAGAAGCGGCGCUUGGACGCUAGCAACACGAUCAGUUCAGUUUUUCAGCGUUUCUUUUUUUUCUGGCUGGAUAUGCAUCACGCAUGGAACAAGAGGGUGUGACAUGCACGGCCAGUGGUGGUCGUUCUUGCAUUGCAUUUGGGAUCUGUAUGAUUUAAGAUGGAGGGAGUACUAGCACAAGUGUAGUUGGCAGGCUAUUUACCGAUGAUCAAUUUUUAUUACCAGGUACUCUAUCAAACAAGUAGUAGCUCUACUGUUUAAUUAAUCUAACAAAGUGUGUAGUUGGCACGUAGGGAAGCAAGCCCGUACGUGUUGAUCUGAGGUGGCCGCGGGCGUCCGGAUAUGUAUGCUGCUACCGGCCAGUUAGCUGGGGCAUGCGUGUGUUCACUUGCUUGAGACCGUUUCUAACUUUGCAAACAAAAAAAACAACCAGCACCAGACUACGUGACGUGUAAAGCUCAUCCGGACUGUUUAUUGCUGCCUGUUUGUGAAGAAAGAAAGAAAAAAAGAGAGAGUCGGCCGGGCUGCUGCACACGCACAUCACUCGCGGCCGCCGCUGCUAUAAAUAGAGCCCGGGGCAGGCCCUGCUUAAUUCAUCACCAGCCACGGCUGCAUUUAUUUGUCACUGAUCGUUGUUCAGCCUAGCUAGCUAGCGCUGUUUCCCUGUGCUAAUGGCGCCCGUUCAAUGUGCGCGUUCGCAGAGGGUGUUCCACUUCGGCAAGGGCAAGAGCGAGGGCAACAAGACCAUGAAGGAACUGGUGAGAGGUUUCUUCUUUCUGUAUUCUCGCUUAAUCUGCAUGCAUGCAUGCAUACAUACUCCUACUAAUGAAGUAAUAACGAUGCUGUCGAUGAAUGAUGACGCAUGCAGCUGGGCGGCAAGGGCGCGAACCUGGCGGAGAUGGCGAGCAUCGGGCUGUCGGUGCCGCCGGGGUUCACGGUGUCGACGGAGGCGUGCCAGCAGUACCAGGACGCCGGGUGCGCCCUCCCCGCGGGCCUCUGGGCCGAGAUCGUCGACGGCCUGCAGUGGGUGGAGGAGUACAUGGGCGCCACCCUGGGCGAUCCGCAGCGCCCGCUCCUGCUCUCCGUCCGCUCCGGCGCCGCCGUGUCCAUGCCCGGCAUGAUGGACACGGUGCUCAACCUGGGGCUCAACGACGAAGUGGCCGCCGGGCUGGCGGCCAAGAGCGGGGAGCGCUUCGCCUACGACUCCUUCCGCCGCUUCCUCGACAUGUUCGGCAACGUCGUGAGUACCCCCGCCUAGAGAUGGCCAAACGGGCCGGCCCGGCCCGGGCCCGGUGAAGCCCGGCCAAAACCGGGCCGGGCCUGCUGAGCCAGCGGGCUUAAUUUUCUGUCCAAGCCCGGCCCGCAGCGGGCUUAAACGGGCCGGGCCGGCCCGUUUAGCACGAAAAAACGGGCCGAAAAGCGGGCUAAACGGGCCGGUAAGCACGUUUUAGUGUAAAAAAACGGGUUUAACGGGCUUAGAGGUAAACGGGCCGUGCCGGGCUAGCCCGUCGUGCCUAGUUUCCUGUCCAAGCCCGCCCGCUUAUUCUACCGUGCCGGGCUCGGACCAGACCCAAAAAGCGGGCUUCGUGCCGGGCUCACGGGCCUCGUGCUUUUUGUCCAUCUAUACCCCCGCCCGUAGCUAGCUGCUUCGAUUCCGCGCCCUGACUCAGCUCCUCGCUUCCAUUCCCGUCCGCCGGUUGUUGUUACUGCUAGCUUGUCCCACUAGCUAGGUGCAGUAGGUGCCUAGUUUUGCGCGCAUCGCGUCGCGUCGACGACGACCCAUCCUCCACCGCGCUGCCGUGGCCGCAACCAAGGCUGGAUGGAGCUUUUGUCUGUUUGCCAGGCCAGCCGUUGCUUUGGGUUAAAAGUGCAAAAAAAAAUGAUGAAGGUCACGCUACGAACUAAACAGACCAUAUACGUACGGCAUCGGCAUGUAAACUUGGCUUGUCGGACUCGAGAAACGAAAGAACGAUGACUCAAACUGCUCUCAGAUUUUGUUUCAUUGUUUGUGUUUACCAGGUCAUGGACAUCCCCCGCUCACUGUUCGAAGAGAAGCUUGAGCACAUGAAGGAAUCCAAGGGGCUGAAGAACGACACCGACCUCACGGCCUCUGACCUCAAAGAGCUCGUGGGUCAGUACAAGGAGGUCUACCUCUCAGCCAAGGGAGAGCCAUUCCCCUCAGGUACAUACCGGCCCGUCGAUCGAUCGUCCUCAGCUCUACUGAUCGAUGGAGCUAGCGGUAGCUUUCCCUGUGCACCGAAAUCAUGUGCUUGCCUGCCUUGCAGACCCCAAGAAGCAGCUGGAGCUGGCAGUGCUGGCUGUGUUCAACUCGUGGGAGAGCCCCAGGGCCAAGAAGUACAGGAGCAUCAACCAGAUCACUGGCCUCAGGGGCACCGCCGUGAACGUGCAGUGCAUGGUGUUCGGCAACAUGGGGAACACUUCUGGCACCGGCGUGCUCUUCACCAGGAACCCCAACACCGGAGAGAAGAAGCUGUAUGGCGAGUUCCUGGUGAACGCUCAGGUAUGAGUCGGCCUCAGGCUUCCAUUGCGCGCCUGUUCGUGCAUGGAUACACUUACGUACGUUACUUGACGCCAUGCAUGCAACAAUUCGUUUCCUGCUCAGGGUGAGGAUGUGGUUGCCGGAAUAAGAACCCCAGAGGACCUUGACGCCAUGAAGAACCUCAUGCCACAGGCCUACGACGAGCUUGUUGAGAACUGCAACAUCCUGGAGAGCCACUAUAAGGAA
rnacentral:lncRNA from 1 species